rnacentral:lncRNA from 1 species
UUAGCCGACGAAAAAUUGUUUCGUCGGCCUGUUUUUUUUUUCGUCGGCUAAAGUCUUUCUUCUGGUAGUGUGUCCGAGAGUCUGAUUUUGGCAAAACAGUCAACUUCGACGGGACUUUGUUAGUAGCUCCUGACGAACCAGAAUGUGUGUAAUAUACGGUUGGAAAGCUCUAUGAGUCUAGUUUCCAAAACCGUUUACGGUUCAUUCAUAUGUAUUUCCUAGAGGAAGUUACGACUGUUCUAGUAACUAAAGGUCAUGCUGCGCGGAAAUCUGAUUUCCUGCAUGAACUUAUGUUUUGAGUUCACAAGCGGCCUUCUCCUCAAGAUCUAAGUGUAGAAGAUCAUUUGAGGACAAUACGGCAUGAUUUAGUUAAUCAUUGACCAAUGCCACAUUUGAAGACAUGUUAAAGAGCAUUGACAUGCUAAGUUGUUGAAACUUCCGUGAUUAGUAAAAAUCAGGAAGAGCCCUAUGAUUGAUGUAAAGAUCAGGGGGAGUCUAGCACAUACAUACAUGUCACUAAUGUGAAGGGUGCGUUGUACUCUUUUUCUCCUACGAUCAAGAUUCAGUUUUUCUCCCACAGGGUUUUUAUGACUUGACGAGGUUUUUGACGAGACAACAGAUCAGCACCAUCGGCAUAUCAGCACGCGGCACAAGGAGGAGUGUUCUAGGAUAUUCUAUAUCUUUCUAGAUAUUCUUUAUGUGUGUCUUGGCCUUAUGCCAAUAGGAUAUGUAGUUAGACUAGAUCUAUGUAUUCAUAUCCUUACCAUAUUGGUAUUGUGUAAUUCCCUAUAUAAAGGGCACCUAUCAAUGAAUAAGAUGAUGAUUCUUUUGCUAUCUCUUUGUCUAUACACUUUAUACUUCAUCAUCAAUAAGCUUGUAGGUAAAAAAUAAUGUACAAAACCGAUACAUUUAACAUAAAGAAAAAAAUAAAAUAAAUUUAAGUUCAAUCAUCCUUUAUUAAACUCGGACCCACUUUAAGUACAAAUCCCGGCUCCGUCACUACCUGUAACUAACGUCACCCAGUAUGAAAGGCCAUCUCCCCCUCUAAAUCAUCAUCAUCAAUUUUCCCUAGAGCAAGAUCCAUAUCCAUGGCUUCCUCAUUACGACCGGCCACAACUCAUCCAAUACUCUAACCAGUACCCAGAACCAAUCGUCACAUCGCAUGCCCCCAUAUGCGACUCAUCACCAUCGAUUCCGACUACGGUUCAAGCUCCACACCGGGUUACCAUUCUGAUCAACCACCCACGACAUCCUCCUUCAUAUUCGUGAUAGGAUUAGUGGAUUACCGGAUGAGCUUAUUUCUCACAUACUUUGUUUUCUUCCAACAAUAUCUGCCGUAAGGACCAGUCUUUUGUCUAAAAGAUGGAACAAGAUGUGGACCUUCGUUCACCAUCUACACUUCGACAUAGACAGAGACAUGAAUAGAGAAAAGUCCCGUAAUAAAUUCGGUUUGGAAUCCCGUUAUGAGAGGUUAGUACAAUCCGAUUUGGAAUCCCGUUUUGAGAGUUUAGUACAAUUUGUAUUUCUAUGUCUGUCUUCAGAGAUUAGAAGUUUUCGUCUUAGAUAUGGGCUCAAACAAUAUGACACUUUCACUUGAGUGUUUGGGUUUCUGCUGCCCUCUGGCGCAAUGUUGUUGAACUUGAUCUUAAAAUUGUUGCUUAUCCUGAUGAGCUACCUGAAAGCAUUUUCUUGUGCAAAACCCUCGAGGUUUUGAAACUGUGGAUAUGUCAAUCUAUAGAUAUUAUGCCUGAACCCCCUACAUCAGGUAGAUAAUAUUUCCCAAGUCUCAAAAUCUUCCAUCUCACAGUCAUAGAGUCUGAUGAGAGCCUGGGAAAACUACUUUCUUAUUUCCCUGUGCUCGAAGAUUUGAGCAUACAUUGACAUGUGUCGUACUCUUACAAUGAGUGUGACAAUUUCAAUGUCAAAGUUUCUGCCCCAGAACUGAAGACGUUGAAACUAAGUAUGGAACGUGAGGAAAUGAAUAACUACGGGAGGAGAAAUUAUUAUGAGAACCUUAAGCAGAACAGGUUUUGUGUCGAUGCUCCAAAGCUUGAAAAGCUUGAAGUUAUACAAAUUCCUCUGUCAAAUUAUAUUUUAGAGAACCCAAAAUCCGUAGUCAAUGCCAGUAUUGCAUUCAAAUCCCUUGCUGAAAAAGAAUGGCCUUCCUUUCCGGACCGUGCAUAUCAGCUUCUGACUGGAAUAUCUAAUGUUGAAUGCCUCUCUCUUUUAGAUCAACCAUUCGAGGUAAUCAAGCAUAUACUAACCCUUAUUUUCUUCAUAAAUCUUUAUUGUUGUAUGUUAGUAGUUUUCUAAUUUCUAGAUGGCUAUUUGUGUGAAUUGUGAUCACCACUUUCGAAUUCACUAAUUUUCCCCAGGCCUCAAACCUCCCUGUUUUUUGGUAAUUUGAACCAAUUGAGGCUGGUUCUCCGUGAUCGUAAUAGCUGGGAGUUUGUAACAGAGCUGCUUCACAAAACACCAAAUCUGGAAGAUCUAGAUCUUGUGUUGGAAGAUGUAAGUACAUUUGUACCGUGUAUUAGUAUACGAUAUUGUUACCACAUUUUCUUGAAGUGAAUUCUAAUUUCAUGAGCACUUAUAUAUCCUUAUCCUCAGGGAACCGAAGGCGAGAAAGAUGAUCCAGAACUACAAUGGACUCCACCUGAGCUUGUGCCCGACUGUUUGUCAUCAAACCUCAAGAGAAUCUCCAUAAGAGGAUUCAAGGGUCUACAAGUUGAAAGGCAAGUAGCAAAAUACAUGUUACUGAAUGGUUAUCAUUUGAAUAAGAUGACGAUUUAUACAUGCAUGUUAGAGAAGGAAGAGUCUUGCAAAGAUCUUUUAACCUUUAAGAGGGCAAUGAAUUGUCAAUUGGAAUUGGGAGCUGCAAUUUACACUACUCCGGUUACAAUCCACACCCCCACUUCUGGUUUUAAGAGUUGAAAAGUCACAAAUACCCCUUUUCUUUUAGACUUCAUGAAAAUAGUCUGAAACCGGCCACCCGCUCCUCCUCUUGGUUGGUAAUUUAUGGAAUGCAAAUUUUAACACCCUUGGAAUUUAGGGAGAUGCAAUUUUAGUUCUUGUAUGGAUGUCUUUUAGAAGAUUUCGUUUUGAGUGUAAAACAUCUCGUAUUUUUAAGGUAUUACAUCAACGUGAAUGAGAACUGUGGUCAUGAUAAUAUGACAAAAGUUGAUCUAUAUAAAAAUGAAAUGACAAAUGUAAAGAUGAUAUCAAUUUUUAUAAUUUCUUGCACUGUUUACAUCAAAAAAAAAAAAAAGACGUUUAAAACCAGAGUGCCACUACGUUGAAGUUGUUCUUCAUACUAUUCUUCUUCAUUCUCCUUCUAUCAUCAUCUAAUCAUUAAAAACAUGACCAAAAAAAAAAAAGGAAAAAUUCCCAUAUACCCUAAUUUUAAUAAUUUUUUUUUGACUAACAAAAUAAAAAUAUAAAAUUCCCACUAACCCUAUAUACUCUACUGAUUUGUUCAUUCUAACAAAUUUUUCAGCUUUUCUAUUUUUUUAUGGACAAAAACUGCCCUCCUUUCUCAAUCUCUCUCUCUCUCUCUCUCUCUCUCUCUCUCUCUCUCUCUCUCUCUCUCUCUCUCUCUCUCUCUCUCUCUCUCUCUCUCUCUGCGCCGCGACUCCUUCCUCACCACCUCUUAGGACGACACCGUCAAGCUCUAGACCAUCAACUGCCCACCUCCGUUCGGACCUUUAAGGAGCACGUCGAUCUACUACGUCUACUCUGCCGUCUGGAACCCUCGCCACGCCGACGUCUUCGCCUCCACCUCCGGCGGCUGCACCGCACGCGUCUGGGACGUGAAUGAGCCGAAUCCACCAUGAUCAUCCCGGCGCACAAGUUCGAGAUCCUCUCCUGCCACUGGAACAAGUACGACGACUACGUCAUUGCCACCGCCUCCGUUGACAAGUCCAUCAAGGUAUGGGACGUCCGGUCCAUCCGAGCACCGAUCUCGAUGCUCAAAGGCCACGGCUACGCCGUCAGGAAAGUCAAAUUUUCGCCGCACCGACAGAGCUUGAUGAUGUCGUGCUCGUACGACAUGUCGGUUUUCUUCGUAUUUUGGUCAAUUUUUUUUUUUCCGGUGAAGUUUUAUAAAUUUGCUGUUGAAUACUUGAAUUGCUUGAAAGAUGCAGAUUUGAUGUCUUUGAUUGAUUUAGAAAUGAGAUUUUUAGUUUCUAGUGUUGUGGUUAUAGCCAAUUCGCAUACGAUAAGGACUUAAAUGAGUUGUUAAAGACUGUUAGGUUUGCUUCUCUAGCUGAAUUGAAGUGUUUGAUAGGUCAAAAUCCAGCUUCGCUCGUGUCAUAGUUAAUUAUACAGGGAAAUGUAGAGCAAGUUUUGGGAUGUUAGAAAGGAAUGUGGUGAUGAUUUGUAGCCUUUUCAGUGUAUCAACAGUCUUGUUGUUUUUGCUUUGGAAAUUUUUGCUUGGUCGUUAACCAGCUUCUAAAAUCUUGAUUUGUGUUUUUAUGAUUUCAGAUAGAUUUGGUGAAACUGUUGCAUGAAUCCAAGUACUGAAAUAGAUUUGUGUUAAUUAUAUAUACAUACUGGAUUCUCAAUUGUGCACCUACCGAUUUUAUCUUUCAUAAGUGCACAUACUAGAAAUUGUCAAAUGAGAAAUGGAUGGAAAUGUAUAGGCAUCUUAAGAGCAUCUACCAUCUUUCAUGUAUAUUGCCCCCAAUAGGAGGUCUUACUGACCCCAAUAGGUGGUCAUACUGCCCCAAAUAGAGACAUGUUAUAAAUGACUGAAACACACAUUUAAGUUCAAGGGUCAUACUGCCUUCAGUAGGAGGUCCUACCGACCCCAAUAGGUGGUCAUACUGCCCCUAAUAAAAACAUACUUACCUUAAUAGGUGGUCAUACUGCCCCUAAUAGAAAUAUGUUAUAAGUGACUGAAACACACAGUUAAGUUCAAGAGUCAGUAGGACCUCCUACUAGGGGCAGUAAGACCUCCUACUGCGGGCAGUAGGAGGUCUUACUGACCCCAAUAGGUGGUCCUCUACACACACAACAGCAGUGGCAGAAGGCUGACCAGAUCGGAAGAUUAAGUUGUUUCGAGUCUUCCAAAUCUGCCAGCAUAAAACCAGUCUUCAAAAGUAGAACGAGGCUCAUUAUCUACUAAAUGAUCAAUCCAAGCAUUUAUAUUCGAGAAUGUUAAGGGGCUUGGUAGGUCCUUUGCAUUAUUCCAAACUAAAGUGCUAAAAGGACAAGACUUAAAAAGAUGGUUUGUAUCUUCAACAGCCGUGCCGCAAAGUGCACAUGUUGAAUCAAUUCCAUUCAUGAAUCUUGCUAGAUAAGCCCGAGUUUUAAGUCUUCCUCGCAUAAACAGCCAAGCAAAAAAAAUUUCGUUAGGAGGAAUUUUCAGAUUCCAUAUUCUAUUAAGGUUCUCAGCCCUAAAAUGUUUAGGGACCUUACACUGUAACCAGGUAGCUGUUUUGACAGAAAAUCUUUCGUUUGACACAGGGCCCCAAAUGAAUUCAUCUUCAACAUUCAUAAUAGUAAUGUUAAUAGCAAUAAUAUCAUUUACAAUGUUCCUGUCCAAUAACUCGUUCAAUUUAGCAAUAUUCCAGUGUCCAUUCUCUAUAAAAUUAGCAACAGAAACAUCCAAGUCAAUUUGUCUCAUAGACCCAAUUAAAGGUCCAGAAUUUCACACUUGCCAUUUCCAAUAAUCCAGCGGAGACCUGAAAGAAUCAAAUCCCUAACAUCAAGAAUACCUCUCCAAGCCACAGAAUGAUUAGCCUGUUUCUUAAUAUCAAAAAAAGACUUUUUUCACAAAUACUUUCUUGAACCAAUAUCAACCCAUAAGCUGUCUUUUUUAGUAAUCACAUUCCACCCGAGUUCAACAAGGCAGCUCUAUCAAGUCCUCCCCAACUUUUAGGGGUACAGACUUGGUCUCAGGCAACGAGGGGGGGGGGGGGGGGGGGGGGGUGGCAUUUAGCACUUUUUCCCCAGAAAAAAUUCCUCACUUCCUUUUCCAUAGCUGUUGAGAUUCUAGGAGGACACUUAAAACAAGAGAGCACAUGAUUCGGAACAGUGCGCAGAGGCAUUAGACUUGAGAAGAACAACCUUACCAGCUCUUGAGAGUGUUGCGCCUUUCCAACCAUUUAGUUUUUUAGAGUCUUUUAUCAAAAGUUCCUUAGAAUUCUGAGGGUCCUUCCAAAAAACAAUGUAAUGAAUCCCUAAAUACUUCCCAAUCGAAUUCCUAUUUUGAAUCCCCAAAAUAUUUGAAAUGGACAGCUUCAUAGAAGCAUCAGUUUUAGUAGAAAAGACAAUAGAAGACUUAUCUAAAUUAAUUUGUUGACCGGAGACAAAGGCAAAUUGAUGAAGGAUAGAAGAAAUGUUCCUUGCAGCUCUUGUAGAGGCCCGGCCAAAAAUUAAGCAGUCAUCAGCAAACAAUAAGUUAGAAAUUCUAAAACCUCUAGGAGAGGAUAAAAUUCCAACAUGAUUUUUGGGUCUAUCAAUAGCAGCAUUAAAGUGUCUAAUGAGAGGUUCCAUACAUAAAAUAAAAAUAUAAGGAGAAAUUGGAUCCCCCUGUCUUAAGCUUCUUGACGGAUGGAAAAGACCAUCAGGUUUACCAUUAAUCAACACAGAGAAGGACACAGUCUUAAUACACAUCAUAACAAGGUUAAUCCAUCUGUUAUCAUAGCCAAACAUUGAAAGAGUCACCUGAAUAUAGUCCCAACUCACAAAAUCAUAGGCUUUCUCAAGAUCAAUCUUGAUGGCCAUAGCCCUUUUUGUAGCUUUCAUCUUAUUGAAGUUAGAAAACAACUCAUGAGCAAUCAGGAUGUUAUCAGUAAUAGACCUACCAGGGUUAAAAGCCCCUUGAUUCUUAGAAAUGCACUUGCCUAAACUAGGCUUUAAUCUAAAAGCAAGAACCUUAGAGAUUACUUUGUAAAUAACAUUACAAAGGCUAAUUGGUCUAUAAUGACUAACCAGUUCAGGGUUUUCAACCUUAGGGAUCAAAGAAAUAUUAGUAUGAUUAAUCAAAUCAACCUUAGGGAUCAAAGCAAUAUUAGUAUGAUUAAUCAAACUCAGACAAUCAUUGUCAUUGUUAAAGAAACCAGAAACAAUGGAAAGAACACUUCCCUUAACAGCAUCCCAAUUCUUCUGAUAAAAAAGAGCAUUUAGACCAUCAGGGCCUGGAGUUUUUAGACCUCCAAUAGAGGACAUAGCUCUCUCCACUUCAAGUAAAGUGACAGGAGCUAAAAGAUUUCUGUUCUCCUCUUCAGUAACUAUCUUUGGGAUAAUAUCACAGAAAGAAUAGUCAGCAGCACUUCUGAUAUUACCAGCCGUGAACCUUCUUUUAAAGCUCUGCACCAGAAUAUCAGCAAUAUCAGUUUGAUUAGAAACCCAAAUGUUCAUAUCACUUUUAAUACCAGAGAUUCUAUUUCUUUGUUUCCUAAUGGUAGCCUGCAUAUGAAAGAACUUAGUAUUUCUAUCGCCAAGAGAUAACCAAUUCUCUUUUUCACGUUGAGCCCAAUAGAGCUCUUCCUUCUGAUAAAAAUCAUUUAAAAUCUGAGCUGCAUCCAAAGCUUCCUGUUUUAAAUAGAUGGAAUCAGGGAAAAACAUAAGCCGGUUCUGAUAAAGAGCCACAUCAUUCUGUAAUCUAGAAGAGUUCAGUAAGAAAUUACCAAAAGUUUCUCUACUCCAUAAAAAGAUACGAUGAGCAAACGACUUAGAAAUAGCAAUGAAAUUUUUAUAGGGGUUAACCCCUAAGUGCUGGUUCCAACACUCAGCAGUGAUCUUAUGAAAAUCAGAAUGAUCAAACCAAAUACAUUCAACCUUAAAGUUCUUAUGCUUAACAACUCGUAAAGGUAAAGUAGUGAGAACCAUGGGGCAAUGAUCAGAACCAACCAUGGGAAGAUUCUCCACAUUCACAUUAGGAAACAGAGCCAACCAAUUAGGGUUAGCAACAACACGAUCAAGUUUCUCAAAGACAACUGUAUGAUCUUUGUGUUUAUUAGACCAAGUCAUAGGUAAACCAUCAGCAACAAUCGUCUCAACAUUUAAAUUAUUCAGAAAGCUAACAAAAUUCUGCAUGUAAAUAGUAGUGGAACUCGCACCACCCACUUUUUCAUCUAAGCUAGUAAUACUAUUAAAGUCCCCCAUGAGAGCCCAAGCCUUGUCAUUUUGGGGCUUGAAAGUCUCAAUUAAAUUCCAUGGGUUCAGUUGUAACAUUUUCUGAGGGUAGGCAUACACAAAAGUAUUAUACCACUCUUUCUGAGAGCUACAUUAGAUCACGAAUAUGGCAAUGAAUAAAUCUGUCAUGCUUAUGAAUUACAUCAAUAGUAGAGCUAUGGGAAUUCCAACAUAAUAACAUCCCACCACAUUGUCCAAUAGAGUUAACAGAAUCAAACUUAUCAAAAUAAGGGGAGAGCAUAGCAAAAGUUCUAUUAGCCUGAUUAACAUCAGGGAUCCUAGUAUCUAAGAUACAUAAAACAUCUAGUCUCUGUUAAACAGUAAUGCGCACUAGUCUCUCUAGACUAUAUUUAAGAUUAUCUAGUUUAAUCUAGAACUUAUCUCUAGUGAUCAUGUAUGGUUGUAGAAAAAUCUAGAUUAAAUGUAAUUAAAUAUAAUUUAGUAUUGUCUAGAGUGAAGUCAUGUCAGUGGAGGUAAACCAAUGUCGGUUUACAACUCUAUAAAUAUGUAUCAAAGCUUGUAUCAUGAUGUAAUCAACUAAGCUAUCAAUACAAACUCUGUUUUUCUACAACAACUAAAUCUCCUCUGUUGCACACCUCCUCUAAUCCAAAUCUUCCAUUUUCUAAACACUCUUUGGCCUAAACACUAACUACCUUACCUUCUAAAACCAUCAGUGGUAUCAGAGUAGUUCUGAUCUAUUCGGGGCGUGUCCACCAUGGCGUCAUCUACCUCCCACCAAAACUCCCUACCUCUUCCAAUCUUCUCCGGUGAGAACUAUGACUUUUGGAGCAUCAAAAUGAAGACUUACUUCAUGUCUCAAGAUCUAUGGGACAUAGACGACAAAGGAUUCACAACUACAGAGAAUCCUUCGGUCGAGCAACUACGGCAAGAGAGGAAGGAGAAGCAAAGAGAUGCUAAUGCUCUUUACGCCAUCCAACAAGCAGUGGAUGAUGCGAACUUCUCAAGGAUCAUGGGAGCUUCUACAGCGAAGGAGGCUUGGGACUGGUUGAAGGAGGAAUUUCAAGGGACUGCUAAAGUGCGCUCUAUCAAAUUGCAAACUAUGAGGAGAGAGUUGGAAAACUUGAAGAUGAAAGAUUCUGAGAUCAUUAAAGAUUAUUACUCUCGUCUUAAGGGAGUAGUGAAUCAGUUAAGGGCCUAUGGAGAAAACAUAUCUGAAACUAGAGUUGUUGAAAAAAUACUUAUCAGUCUAACUGAGAAGUAUGAUCCGGUAGUUACUGCUAUAGAAAACUCUAGUGACAUAUCUCAACUUUCGGUGACUGAACUCAUAGGCUCAUUAGAAGCUUUCGAAAAAAGAUUGAGUAGCCGGGAUGAUACUCCACUAGAGAGUGCAUUUCAGUCUAAACUCAAUCUACGAUCUCAGAAUUAUAAAAGAGAAGAAAAGAAGAUAAAUGAUUAUCCUAGAGAAAGAGGAGAAAAAUCUAAAAAUUGGGAAAAUAAAAGAGACUUUAAGCAAAGAAGAACUUAUCCUCCAUGUGGGAUAUGUAAGAAUACCAAUCACAAAGAAGUAGAUUGCUGGUUUCGGGGUAAGCCGAAAUGCCGAAAUUGUAAUAGAUUCGGCCAUGCUGAAAAGAAUUGUCGGCUCAAGAAGAAGUAUCAAGCCAAUUUUUCAAAGGAGAAUGAAGAAGAUGAGCACCUAUUCUUCUCAUGUGAAGCUGCAUCUGAGGAGAAAAACCAGACAUGGUAUGUAGAUAGUGGUUGUAGCAAUCACAUGUCAGGGGAUGAAUCUAUCUUCUCCAACCUUGAUACAUCAAGGAAGUCACGAGUGAAACUGGGGAAUGGUGCUUUGGUGCAUACGAAAGGUAAAGGUACGAUCUCCAUCCAAACUAAUUUAGGAACCAAGUGUAUUGAUGAUAUUUUAUUGGUUCCUAGUUUAGAGCAUAAUCUGUUAAGUGUUGGUCAAAUGAUGGAGAAUGGUUAUGCUCUAUUAUUUUCUGGAGACUCUUGUAAAAUAUAUGAUAAAAAAAGAAGGAUGAUAUUUAAUGUAAAGAUGGAAAAUAGAAGUUUUCCUAUCCAGUGGUUACAAAUGGCCAUGAAGGCAGCUAUAGAUGAUUCAUGGCUAUGGCAUAAACGCUUUGGCCACUUCAAUUUCCAUGCUUUGAGAACUUUAUCUCAAAGAAAAAUGAUGGAGGACCUGCCAAACAUAGAGGUGAUUGAAGAUGUCUGUAGAGCCUGCCAACUCGGGAAGCAGCAGAGACAAGCAUUUCCUUCUGGAAGAGCUUGGAGAGCAAAAGACUACUUGGAGCUUGUGCAUACGGACGUCUGUGGACCUAUGAGGACUCCAUCUCUUGAUCAAAGCAAGUACUUCAUUCUUUUCAUUGAUGAUUAUACUAGAAUGACAUGGGUCUACUUUCUACGUGAAAUGUCUGAAGUUUUCAAGAUCUUUCAAAAGUUCAAGAACCAUGUCGAAAAACAAAGUGGCCAUUACAUCAAAGCUCUUAGAAGUGACAGAGGUAAAGAAUAUACCUCUAAACAAUUCAACAAAUUUUGUGAAGAUGAAGGAGUAGAGCACCAACUAACAGUGGGCUAUGCUCCUGAACAAAAUGGAGUCUCUGAGAGAAAAAAUAGAACCGUGAUGGAGAUGGCAAGGUCAAUGUUAUGUGAAAAACACUUGCCAAAGACUUUUUGGGCAGAAGCUGUAUAUACAGCAGUCUACUUGCUAAAUAGAUGUCCAACAAAAGCAUUACAAGACAAGACACCAAUUGAAGCUUGGAGCAACAAGAAGCCAUCAGCAAAGCAUCUCAAGGUCUUUGGGAGCAUUUGCUAUGUUCAUAUUGCAGCUGUUAAAAGGCACAAGUUGGAAGAAAAAUCAGAAGUUGGUAAUUCGUUGGCUACAGCUCGCAAGCUAAAGGUUACCGAGUAUACAAUCCAAAAAUGGAGAAGCUCAUGAUCAGCAGGGAUGUUAAGUUCGAUGAAGCUGCCUAUUGGGAUUGGGAAAAAGAAGAAGUUAUGAAGAACAAAUUUGUCCCAACAGAAAAGCAGCAGAUUACAUCUCCUUUGCAUUCAAGGGAAGAAGAAUUUGAAGAAGAAACUUCAGAAUUUCCAGGUACGCCCUCUAUUACUCUUCCAUCUAAUCAAGAAGAAGAUGAUGUUCCAGAAUCUCCACCUAGAAGAGUAAAAGUCAUUGAGGGAUAUAUACGAAACAUGCAAUUUCAUAUCUUUAGAACCUGAAAGUUUNNNNNNNNNNNNNNNNNNNNNNNNNNNNNNNNNNNNNNNNNNNNNNNNNNNNNNNNNNNNNNNNNNNNNNNNNNNNNNNNNNNNNNNNNNNNNNNNNNNNNNNNNNNNNNNNNNNNNNNNNNNNNNNNNNNNNNNNNNNNNNNNNNNNNNNNNNNNNNNNNNNNNNNNNNNNNNNNNNNNNNNNNNNNNNNNNNNNNNNNNNNNNNNNNNNNNNNNNNNNNNNNNNNNNNNNNNNNNNNNNNNNNNNNNNNNNNNNNNNNNNNNNNNNNNNNNNNNNNNNNNNNNNNNNNNNNNNNNNNNNNNNNNNNNNNNNNNNNNNNNNNNNNNNNNNNNNNNNNNNNNNNNNNNNNNNNNNNNNNNNNNNNNNNNNNNNNNNNNNNNNNNNNNNNNNNNNNNNNNNNNNNNNNNNNNNNNNNNNNNNNNNNNNNNNNNNNNNNNNNNNNNNNNNNNNNNNNNNNNNNNNNNNNNNNNNNNNNNNNNNNNNNNNNNNNNNNNNNNNNNNNNNNNNNNNNNNNNNNNNNNNNNNNNNNNNNNNNNNNNNNNNNNNNNNNNNNNNNNNNNNNNNNNNNNNNNNNNNNNNNNNNNNNNNNNNNNNNNNNNNNNNNNNNNNNNNNNNNNNNNNNNNNNNNNNNNNNNNNNNNNNNNNNNNNNNNNNNNNNNNNNNNNNNNNNNNNNNNNNNNNNNNNNNNNNNNNNNNNNNNNNNNNNNNNNNNNNNNNNNNNNNNNNNNNNNNNNNNNNNNNNNNNNNNNNNNNNNNNNNNNNNNNNNNNNNNNNNNNNNNNNNNNNNNNNNNNNNNNNNNNNNNNNNNNNNNNNNNNNNNNNNNNNNNNNNNNNNNNNNNNNNNNNNNNNNNNNNNNNNNNNNNNNNNNNNNNNNNNNNNNNNNNNNNNNNNNNNNNNNNNNNNNNNNNNNNNNNNNNNNNNNNNNNNNNNNNNNNNNNNNNNNNNNNNNGAAGAAUCUUUGAAGACAUGGGAGAGAAACAAGAAAAUGCCACAAGAAUCUUCAGUGACAACAAAUCUGCAAUUGCAAUGGCGAAGAAUCCGGUAUGUCAUAACAAAACGAAGCAUAUCAAGAUCAAGCAUCACUUCUUGAGAGAAGCUUCAACAAACAAAGAAAUUGAGCUCCACUACUGCAAGACAGAAUUACAGCUAGCCGACAUCUUCACUAAGGCACUCGCAAGAACAAGAUUUGAAAUACUGCGAAGCAUGCUUGGAGUAGCACCAAUGCGCAUUAAGGAGGAGUGUUAAACAGUAAUGCGCACUAGUCUCUCUAGACUAUAUUUAAGAUUAUCUAGUUUAAUCUAGAACUUAUCUCUAGUGAUCAUGUAUGGUUGUAGAAAAAUCUAGAUUAAAUGUAAUUAAAUAUAAUCUAGUAUAAAUAUGUAUCAAAGCUUGUAUCAUGAUGUAAUCAACUAAGCUAUCAAUACAAACUCUGUUUUUCUACAACAACUAAAUCUCCUCUGUUGCACACCUCCUCUAAUCCAAAUCUUCCAUUUUCUAAACACUCUUUGGCCUAAACACUAACUACCUUACCUUCUAAAAACCAUCAGUCUCAGAGAAGCAGACAGAUGCUUCACCUGAACUAGGAAACCAGAACAGGAACUACCCUGGCUAUUCCAUAUAUAUUAGCAUUCUCAUUAAAAACAUACAUAAAAAGGUCAUUGUCAUCACUAGUAUCCAUAUUGUUAAUCCCAGCAGCAUUAUCAGAAACAGUAUUCUCAGCCUCCAUGUUGACGAUGCCCUCGAGGGAAUCUUUAAAAUUGACAACAGUAGAAAAAUGCUCACCUCACAAUCCCUACCAUCAAAUCUAAAGCAAUUUAUAUAAAGUGGAAGAGAACACCCAAACCUUCUAGAGCAAACUAGCCCAUAAACCCAACUCUCAAUUCUCAAAUGGAUAAAGCAAACAGAUUCUCAGAAUAUGAAAAGAUAAAGUCCAAUUAACAAAUGUGAGAAGGGGAAGGCAGAAGCAUACCUAGGUAGGAUUAACAAGGACACGUACCUCGACCAUCGGUCGGAGUCCGACACUAAGAACACAAUCAGAUUCAAAUCUGAUGAAGGAAGAACGGAGGCCAGAAUGAUGUCGCAUCAUAGACUUGAGAGACCACUGUGACUCGAGCAAUUCCACGAGAGGUCGGCCUUGAAAAUUCCAUGCUCGCAACUUUUCCCAAAUCCGCAACGCCAUCGCGACUUUAAAAUAGCAGUUCCGUAAAUCGAAGCCCGGCCAAAGAGCAUGCCACCUAACUGCCCAAGCGAUCCAAAGAAUUGGAUCAAAGACUCCCGAACAAGCCAGAGAACGAAGAAAUCGAAGAAACCCUAGCGCGUGAGGCGCGUUCCUUUAUACCCAUACCGUUUUCUAGGCCCACGGUUACACAGUUUGCCCUAGCUAUAUAGUUACACAGUUUUCCCUAGCUAUAUAUAAAACUAUGCUUAAUAAAAGGUUACUAGCUCUAGGUUUGGAGUCGGCUGUUUUACUUCUGCGGUGAUCCCCAUCAGUACCAAGUCUCACCGCCAAAGAUGGUCGAACCAUGGCAGCAGUCAAUCAUACGGGUUGAUGACCCCACGCUUCCCAGACCAUGGCAGUGCCUGAUCCAUCUUCCCAGAGGUUUGCUAUAUUUCUGGAACCCUAAAACUAGGGUCAGACAGUACGAAAGGCCAUCUGCCGGCCCUCCUUAUCUUUAUCAAUUUUACCGAGAGCAAAAUUCAUAUCCAAAACCACCCUCUACAUCGAUUCCGAUCAACUGCCCACGACAUGGUGAAGAUAUGAUUAGUGAAUUGCCGGAUGAACUUAUUCUUCGCAUACUUUGUUUUCUGCCAACAAUAUCUGCCUUAUUGACCACUUUUUUGUCUAAAAGAUGGAACAAGAUGUGGACCUUUGUUCGCCAUCUAGACUUUGACACAGACAGAGAGAGGUUUGAUUAUAGAUCGCAUUUUGAUAGUUUUGUACAAUUUGUUUUCCUACGUCUGUCUUCAUCAGUCGACAUUGAAAAAUUUCGUCUUAGAUAUACCACUCCCCCUGAUGAUUCUAAUUCGGGAGAUGUUUCUGCUCAAUUGAAUGAUUGGGUUUCUGCUGCCGUCUGGCGCAAUGUUGUUGAACUUGAUCUUAAAAUUGUUGAAGCAACUGAAGCAUUUUCUGGUCUACCUCGAAGCAUUUUCUGGUGCAAAACCCUCAAGGUUUUGAAACUGUGGAUAGAUCAAGGUAUAGAAAUUCCUGAACCUCCUACAACAGGGUGUUUCCCAAGUCUCAAAAUCUUCCAUCUCACAGUCACAGAUCCUUAUGAGAGCCUGGGAAAUAUACUUUCCUACCUCCCUGUGCUCGAAGAUAUGAGCCUCCCUGUGCUCGAAGAUAUGAGCAUACAUGUACAGCUCACGCGCGAUUACAAAACCUAUAUCAAUGCCAAAGUUUCUACACCAGAAUUGAAGACGUUGAAAUUGAGUAUGGAACGUAAGAAAAAGCAUUAUCAUAGAACCCAAGAGCACGACAGUUUUUGCGUCGAUGCCCCAAAGCUUGAAGAGCUUGAAGUUAUACAGAUUCCUUUGUCAAAUUAUAUUUUAGAGAACCCAAAAUCCGUAGUCCAUGCUAGUAUUGCUUUCAAAUCCCGUGCUGAAGAAGAUUGGUCUUUCUUACCAGACCAUGCAUAUCAGCUUCUGACUGGAAUAUCUAAUGUUAAAUGCCUCUCUCUUUCAAAUCAACCAUUCGAGGUAAUCUAGCAUAUAAUAACUCUUUAAUCUUUAUUGCUAUAUAUUAGUAGUUUUCUAAUUUCUGGAUGGCUGUAUGUGUGGUCACCACUUUCACUAAUUUAAUUUCCACAGGUUUCACAUCUCCCUGUUUUUGGUAAUUUGAACCAAUUGAGGCUGGUUCUCCGUUAUCGUAAUACCUGCGAGUUUCUAACAGCGCUGCUGCACAAAACACCCAAUCUGGAAGAUCUAGAUAUUGUGUUGGAAGAUGUAAGUAAGAUUUGUUCGUGUACAAUUAUACUUUAUUAUUUACCACAUUUUCUUAAAGUGAAUUCUAGUUUCCUGAACUCUUAUUUUAUCCUUAGGGAACCGAAGGCGAGAAAGAUGAUCCAGAACUUCAAUGGACUCCACCUGAGCUUGUGCCUGACUGUUUGUCAUCAAAUCUCAAGACAAUCUCCAUAAGAGGAUUCAAGGGUCUACAAGUUGAAAGUCAAGUAGCAGAGUACAUGUUAUUGAAUGGUUGUCAUUUGAAUAAAAUGACAAUUUAUACAUGUAUUUCAGAGGAGGAAGAGUCAUGCAAAGAUCUUUUGACCUUUAAGAGGGCAAUGACUUGUCAAUUGGAAUUUAGGGAGAUGCAAUUUUAGAUCUUAUAUGGAUCGCUUUUAGAAGAUUUUGUUUUGAGUGUAAAACAUCCCUAAUUUUUGUGGUACGUCAAUCAGAUUCGUGGUCAUGAUAGUAUGAGAAAAGUUGGUUUAGAUGGAAUUUUUCAUCAACGAUGCCAACAUACCUUAUAAAUGAAGGAGAAUAAAGGGUCUCCUUGUUUCUUUUGUUCGGAUUACCUUUAAAUUUGCAGCAAUAUGGAAAUGUAAGAAAUAUGAAUGAGAAUGAGCUUUCAUGUAUGGUGAAACCUUCUUUUAUCAAAGCAAAUAACAAUACAUGAAAUGAAAGUAUACGAUAGAUUGAUAGAAGGCAUCAACAGUAAAUCUUUGACCCCCACAACGUCUUAAAGCUUUCCUAACAUGACUUCAGAAAUCAGAAUAAUUACUAAUUUUCACGCCCGUGGGUUUCUAAAAUCUAGUAUAAACUAUACUGCUGCUGGCCAACAAAAAAAACAGAAAUUUUGUAAUAUCUUUCUAUACAUUCUUUACUGGCCAAAACAUGCUAUAUAUCCCAACUAGAACAUCAUAAAAAAGUCAAGUUUAAAACCAGAGAGCCACUACGUUGAAGUUGUUCCUUCAUACUAUUCUUCUUCUUCAUUUUCCCCUUUUUGUUAACCCACUAUGUGUGAUAGAGCACCUAUGGUCUAUACACCGUUCUUCUCUGCACUAUAGAACUAGACAAUCAUGUUUCAGCUUGUGCCAGAACCGAAUUAUCGAGUGUCAUCUCCUCCUGUUCUUCGGUAUCAACUUGGAGAGGACUUGGGUCAACUUCUGUGGUCACGUUGAUUGGCCCUUGUGGUGUUCCAAAAAGUGUAGUGAAUAUCUGUCUAUGGCAUUCUUCACAAAAGUAGAUAUAGGUGAAAUGGCCCUCGUAGGGGAGCUUAUGUACAGCAGCUCCUGGUAAAAUCCUGUGCACAAAAUCAGUCAUUGAAGGUGGUGCCACCUUAUCAUCCAUCCCCUGUUAGUAAAGUGAUCUCAAGUAAGUUUACUUGCAGAAAGAUUGACACCUCCAAAUAACUGAAGCUGAUUACUGUGUUGAGAUUCAUUAUUGUUAUUGUUACAAGAUAAGAACCACCAGCAAUAUAAUUUAACAAGUAUGUUACCGUAUUCCAUCCACAUUCUUCUAGCAGAAGUAAUUUCUUUACAAAGUUAUCAAUAGUUGUUCUUUAGAAAGUUCAUGACUUCAUAUUUUCAUGACGUAAAGCAAUUCAAUUACCCUGUCUAAUCAUUGAUCUUGUUGUUAUCUACUAAACAUGUAACUUAGUCUUUGAGGAAAAUAGUGCAACUUUAUAAGUAGGUUAUUGGUUGGCUGUUACAAAUACACAAUAAGAUAGAGAAGCUUCUGACCUGCCAGAUGUGUAUUGGUCCAAGGAAGCCGAUAUAUUCCUCCUGAGCUGCACUGAGCACAGACUUGAGCCAAUUGAGCAUUCCUUUCCCUUGUUGCUUCUUCUGCAAUUUGAGGUCCGCAAGGCUGAAACCCCAAUUCGACACUUGCAGAACAGCUUCUUCCACAAACGGUUUUGCACUUCCCUGCCUAAUGGACUCUUCAACAUCCCUUUGCCAGAAUUCUUCAUAGAUUGGAUCCUCUAUUAAAGCCUUGUCCUGGUACAAGUUGACAAAGGAUUCUCAUAUAAGUAUCAUCAUGGUAAUCCAGGAAUUACAAAUGUAAAACAAACAGAAAAGAAGUGAACUACAAAAGUAGUAUGAUAGAACCACCCUACUCACAAGGAACAGUAUCCCAGUUGAAUCACUAGGAGAAAAAUUUUAAAGGAUAGGAACAAACAGCUAAAAAAGCUGUCUCAGUACAAUUUUAAUAUAAUACCAUACCGUGGCAUUUGAAUAUCUAUGAAAUUUUUUCUGCAUUAUAGCUAAUUUAUAAUAGGAGAUCCCCCAUAAUAAGACGUUCUAUUCACAUACAAUGUUAAAUAUAAAAAAAAGUAUGCAUGGUUGUAAUAGUUGAAACUUAAGUUCAAAUUCGCAAAUGUUUACAAACAGCAAUAACAAUUCUUACCCUCUUUCCAAGUGACAACGACAGCCAUUUCUCAAUUUGUCCAUGCUUUCCAGAUAAGAAACUCCGGUGGUAGAAGUAAGCCAGAAAUCUGGGAAACCUCCUGGCUAGAAAGUAAAAGAGUUGCCUCUUUCUUGUCCACUGUUUCCAGGUUCUACGUCUCUCUUCCCUGUUCAUGAUUGAAUCGUAUGGAUUAACCAUUGGAGCCAUCAUGGCAGCACCUGCAAAUUAGAUCAGUCAGGAUCAUGAGAAGAUAUUACUGGAAAAAAAAAAAUAUAUGGCAGACAUCCUAAUUUCCUCAGAAGAAAAUUUUAUCAUAAAUGAGAAACUAAUAGAAAAUGUUGUUGAACUCAUCUGCAACUUUAAUAAACAUAUUUUAUCAGGCCUCAUUAAAGACUUGGCAUCCAUAAUGACAAUAACAUGUCGGUUGCAGAUUCUGGCGAAGACUAACCCAUGAAAAAGACUUUUCAGGUAAGUAACAUGAACAUCAGAAACUUCAGGGAAAUAGCAGAGAGAUGAUUAUUAGUAUCACAAUGUACCAUAACAUACAGUACCCAAUAACAGAACAAAAUUCCUUUGGAAAUGCUGUAUCUGUUCCACUUCUGGAAACCUUAUCACUGCAUGGGAGAACCUUUCACAAAUCAUAGAAGUGUAGGAGACAUCAUACCUGCAAGUCUAUCAGGAAUGUAUCUGAGUGCUGCCCAGGCAUGCAUGCUUCCACUAGAGUAUCCAACAACCCAAAACUUGUGAUUAACACCAACAGCAUCAGCUAAGAGCAACAUAUCCAUUGCUGAAGUUUCAAGGUUCCUAUCAGGAUGAGGAUCACUCUCUCCAAAUCCAGGAAGAUCAUAUGUCAAUAAGCGAACACCAAACUCUUCCAAUAGUGAAGCCUUAAGUCCCGGUAUUCCUAAUUUUGAAAAACAAGAUACAAAAUCAAGAAAAUGCAUGCCUAAAAUAAACAAGAACAGCAAAAGUAGAUGCAUUAUCUGUAGGUUUAGCCAUAAAAAAGAACGUCGCACCUGCAAGCCUGGAGGAAAGGAAAGAAUGUGGAGAAAUAAUUGAGAAUCUAGCAUUGUCAGCCGGAACUCCCUGCUCCUUAUAUGCAAUGUAUCUACCAUCUGGAAGCAUCACGCGGGCAGCACUAGGAGGAUGUAUGUACACCUUCUUCACUACAUUUGGAGUGGUAGGAGUAGUUUCCAUAUUCACAAUCAGUGCUGGAAUUUUGUAAGCCAUGUCAGCAAAAAGCACAAUAAUAGACCCAAACAACCAAAGGAGAAGCAAAUUAAGAGAAGGAGCCCCUGAAUCAUCAGAUUAACAGGCGCAUAUACUCUAAACUUAAUUCCCCUUUGCUAAUUCUCAAUCAGUGUAUAACUCAUAUUCACAAGCAUGCAAUCAAACAGAGAAAAUAAUUGCAUUUCAAGUUAGAACUGUUAUCAUCAAAAUUUCUGUACCGGAGUUGAAGUGAUCAAUAGUAACUUUCCACUACAGAAAGUCAAAGUUUAUUCCAACCAGAACUUUUCCAGGAUUUCCACAAAAUUCUGAUGCUUUCCUACUUUUUCGACCAAACCGAACAAAACUUUUAGAAACUAUAUCAAAUACUUUCCGGCAAAUAUUUCUCCGGCAAAAAACUUUCCGGCCAAAAAAUCAUGUCACAAAAUCCCCAAAUUAACCAAAAAUCCAAACUUUUAAGCAUAGUCAAACAACAAAAGGAAAAUUAUACAAAACUGGAAAUUCUCAGCAACCAAACAGAGCACAAUCUAUGAACUGAUCUUCUCCUCCUACAUUUGAUCAACAACGAAACAACACACAGCGACGCACCUGCAAAAGCCAAAACGGCGACGAACAGAAUCACCGACCAAGCAUGAACCGGCUCCUUAUCCUCCGGCAAAUACUCAUUCAUAAACCUCAGCUUCCUCGUCACUCUCUUCCCGAAAUACGUCUCCUUCACCUUCUGGAAGCUUCGCACAACCACCGAGUCCCGAUUCCCCAAGCUCUGCCUCGCAAUAUCCCUACACCCCUUCCCGAACUCCACCGCCAUCUCCGCCGCCGCCGCCGCGAACUCCCUCACGUGCUCGCCGACUCCCUCCGGCUUAAUCGCAUUGACGCUCGAGUCCACCGCAACGCCGCCGUACGACGCCGAGACGUGACCGUUGAGAAGAUCCUCGGGUCGCCAGGGCCGGGCCCGGCCCGCGGUGAACGGCGGCUCCGAGUUUGACUCCCACAUUGACCGGAAAUCAAAGGGAAAAGAGAGAGAGGGGAAACUGGAAAAGGGAGCGAGUGGUUUUGAUUACAUUGGGGUCUUGGAGAAAAAAAGGUGAAAAGGAAAGGGAUGGGAAAAGUGGGAGUGAGGAAGAAGAAGAGUGGUUGUUGCCCUUUUUGAUUUCUUGCAGUGGCAUUUCGUUUUUUUUUUUCAAUUUUUUUAAAUACUUUUUAUAUUUUUUUAAUAUUAAGUUUAUUGCGUGGGAUCUGGUGCCGGUGGGUACACGGAGCCAGGGAGGAGUGGGAGUUGUGGGGGUGGGACCGGCACGGGGGAGAGUCGGUGUGGAUUUGGCCACGUAGAGGAGGGAGUGGCGUCACCGUCGCGUCAGGCGGUAGUGAUGGACUGAUGGUGGAAGUGGCGGUUGUUGCGUACUAACGACUCUGUCUUUCUCGUUUUAAUCUCAGCAGCUGGGCCGCGCUGCUUGGUGAUGGAAUAAUAUUUUUAAUAUUUAAUUUUAAUUUUCUAAUGGAAUUUUUUAUUCUUUUUAAUUCUAUACUAGAGGGUCUUGACAUCUUCCACCGCCCAUCUUCGCCUCCGUCGACUUAGAAUUAGGCCGGACUAAAUUGAAGGUGAUAGGAAAUUGAUGAUAGAGUGGGCAAUGAAUCUAUGGUAUGACUGUAUGAAGAGUGAGAUCAUAUUUAUUCGGUAGGUUUAGUUUCUUAGUUGUUUAUCGUUUUUUUUUUUUUCUUUUCCUUCAUCGACUUGUUGGUUGAGAAAAAGAAGAUAGACUAAGAUGGGAGAGAGAUAAAGUUAUUAUGUCAUAUAAAUGUGACUUUUUGAUCUUUAAAGUAGCUUAGCUUUGCUUUGUCUGCCGAUCAUAAAGGCAAAGUAGUUUAGCUUUGCAUGUAACUCCUAAACAUAGCCACAACUCCCACAAGUUCCAAUAAGACAUAAUAGCACCUACCGCUUGCAAAAGGCCUUACACUCUCGCAACUUGCCUCUAUAUAGCCGAUUUUGCCUAUUUAGUAAUGUAGGAUUAGGACAUGCCACAUAGUAACCAUUCGAUGAAAACCCAAUUAACAACAUAAUGUCUAGUUUAAAUCUCAAAUCACUAGUUUUACGUUUCUCUUGUUUUGUACAAUAAUGUUGUUAGAAAAUCGAUUAUCAUAUGUGAUUACGAGAAACAUCACAAUUUAAAGAUAUUGUGGUACACUAACUCGAUCAUAUUGUGGAAUCAUUUGUGUUCACUAGUGGCGUAGUGCAUGAACAAAAAUGAUAUUGCGAACAAAAUGAUGACACCUUUUCGGUGGACUCAAUGAUUAUAAUGGUGGUCCUGAUUACUGUAUAAUUGAUGUAUAAUUGCCUCAAACACCACAACCACAAGCUGGAACAAGAUUACAAGAAUCACACCUACAUCGACAUGUCCAUGAGUCACUCCAACUAAUAUGUUUCACUUACAAUGCCAAAGUUGGUGCCUACCUUUUUAUAUCUCUUUGACAUUUCCAUUAAUUUCUUAACCAGAUGGAUUGAGUAAUAAUAAUUCGACAAGAAGAAGAAGAAGAAAAAAGCAAGCCACACACCAAACGGCUGGCCUGUCAUUUCAUGCAAUUCCAAAAAUAUAAAGUUGGACGUGACACAACUCAUAUGAUUUUAUCCACAUAAGUGAAUUUUCCUUAUGUUACUGUGUAUGAUUAAAUUUUCAUAAUCACAACUGUUGGAGCGGUAAUAGUAUGUCAUAUUCUCUAAUAAUUAAGAUAAGAUGAAAAAUAUGUUCGGUAAAACAUUUCAUGCAAUUCCAAAAAUAUAAAGUUAUAAGCCAUACUCUGCAUUUUAUGGAUGGUUAUUGUUUGCGUGGAUAAAUAGACAAGGCAAAGCCGCAAAAGUAGUCUUUGAUCGGAUGGUUAGUGACGGGUCUAUGGUUAAUGUUCACAAUUAUAGCAGAAUGAUAAACGGAUAUUGUAAACAGCGAAAAUUAUACAGCGCACCCGGAUGCGCUGAAUACGCUCUCUGUAAACAGAACAAAAUCGAUGAGGCAGUGCAUUUUUUCCAAGAAAUGGCAUUUUUUCCAAGAAAUGUCUCACAUGGGAUUGGUUCCAUGGUUUCACUUAUAGCACUCUUGUGUAUGUUUCUUCAAAGUCGGGAGGAUACAAAGUGCAAAGAAGUUGUUCUCCGAUAUGCAAGCUUAUGCUAUUUUACUAGAUGGCCUAUGUAAAAACCAACAGCUAUCAAUGGCAAUUGAAUUGGUUAGAGAGAUGGACAACAAGUUGGAUCAAAAUAUUCUUAUGGAGGGUUUGUUCCUAGCUGGAGAUGUUGAAUCUGUAGUUUAUCAUCCAAGCGACUUCAACCUAAUGCCCGUACAUAUAACAUAUUGAUUAAGGGACCCUGUCAUACAUAGUGGACAUUGUAACGAAGCAGAAGAGUUGCUUAAGGAAACGGAAGAGAAAGGCUGUCCUCCAGGUGAUUGUACGAGGGUUGAUUAAUAACAAUGAAACAUUGCGGGCUGUGAAACUCGUUCAACAAAUGAAGAAGAGAGGUUUCUCUGCAGAUUCAUCAACAGUGGAAUUGGUAUUGUCUCGUGAUAAAGUAGAUACCUCUUUUCUGCCAUUGUUGAAAAAUUUCAUUAUGAUAUGAAUUUGCACAUUGAAAUAGAACUUUCGUUUAUUGUCUAAAUAGAAAGUACAUCACAGUUUGUUGCUUGCUAGUGUUGUUUCAUUAUUAAGUUAUUUGAAUCAAUGAAGCAUUUCUAGUAGCAGAAGGAAAGAUGAAACUAUUGCACGUACUUGUGACAACUUUUGUUGUAUUACAUAUCUUUGACAAUGGAAGAGUUGGCCCAGAGGUGCUUUUGCUUACUGAUUCUGUUUCUUUUUCUCGUUAGCAUUUGGCAAAAAUAUAUUCUUUGCAAACCAUAACCUCUGAAUAAACCUUUCAGGACUGUGCUGGAGUUAUACUAUUUACCGCGGAAAGAGCCACACAUGUUGCUUUGCAGGUAAAAGAUUCUGCUCUAAUUCCAUUCUAUCUCUACUUUUGAAACCAAGUAAUUUUUCUAUUCAAACUCAAACCUCAUUCGGGAAUGCAACUAAGCUUGCAUAUUGCACAUUGCUUGAAUUCCCCCAUGUUGAAGUUCAUGAUCUCCAUUUGCAUGGUGUUGCUAAGAGGUUUAUAUAAUGAGAACUAGGAUCUGUAUAAAGAUUCUUGCAAUUGGAAAAAAAAUAAAAUAAAGAAAAGCCUAGGAAGAACAUAUGUUAUCUUUACUUGUAUGGAUGUUUCCACGACAAGUUUGAACCUUGCAGGCUAUACAAUGCUUAGGUGGUAAUGGCUAUGUAAAUGAAUAUUCUACUGGCCGUCUCCUUUGAGAUGCCAAACUCUGAGAUUGCAGCAGGGACUAGUGAGGUCCAUCUUGGUUGAUCUUAAGUAGAUCUUCAACUGGCGACAAAUGAGAAUUCUAGAGGUGACAAACUUAUUUUUCCUUGUUACUUCCCCAGAAUCAUGCUUCUCUGAAUACUCUGUUCCAUGCUACAAAAUAGAAGAGCACCUUGUUUGGUUGGUACAGAAGCCGAAAGAUCACGUAUUUCUCUGUUUUCCUCUACAAUCUACACACUACUAGUAUGUUUUCAUAUACAUGAUUUUGCAGAAAAGAUUUUAUAACAAUAUUUUGGUCCAACUGGUUCAUCAGAAUUUGAUGUACACCUUUUUUUUUUUUAAUGCCAAUAUCCAUCUGAAUGUUGGAAUGAAACAGGUUAGAACAAAUGUACGCGCGUAUAUAUAAUUAAUCUUUGAGAGUAUGAAAGAAUAUAUUGUUCAGUUCAGAGGACCAUGUUCGGGGAUGACAUAACUUCAUGGAGUAGCCUAGCUGGUCUAUUCAUGUCUACAAAAGGGACUCAUCACCAAAGGAACAGAUUUCUCAAGCAUGCUUCAAUCCAACAGAAACUAUGGCAAAUAGGCAAUAAUAUGACAGUAAAUUCCCUUCUUACGUUCGCAAGAAUCCUACAUGCUGCAAUGCUGCAUUUAGUACACCUUCAUGGAAUAGUUUCUUUCCUCAUAGCAAAAGUGCUUCCUCAUUCAAACUUAAGUGCAUCCACGAAGGCACUCAAAACACAAUGGGCCAAAUGACUUUGUCUCAUGUUCAGUCAUUCCCGCUGCUCUAACACUAAUAAUUUUGAAGAAACCAAAGAAAAGAAGACUGCACAAGAAUAUCAGCCUGAAUCUCUUUUAGCAUGAUACACUAGUCAUAGUAGUCGUAAUCGUCUUGUCGCCGUACCUGUCGUGGCUGUUCAUAGUAAUAAUCCUGUUGUUGCUGUACCGGACGUGGCUGUCCAUAGUGGUUAUAAUCCUGUCGUUGCUGUACGUGUCGUGGCUGUUCACGUCUAACAGGCUGUCCAUGUCGUGGCUGUUCAUUGUAGUUAUAAUCCUGUUGUUGCUGUACGUGUCGUGGCUGUUCACGUCUAACAGGCUGUCCACGUCGUGCCUGAUCAUGUAUAACAGGCUGUCCACGUCGUUGCUGCUGAUGUAUAUUGGGCUGCAGUUGCACACGUCCAGGCAGUCCUUGUCGUGGCUGUUCAUGUAUGGCAUGCUGUACUUGUUGGGGCAUAAUGGGCAGUUGCACUUGAAAUCUUUGUGGUUGUUCAUGUCUAAUGGGCUGUCCUUGUCGUUCGUGAUCGUGUCUGAUGGGCUGCUGCACUUGUUGCGGCACUUGCCGUGGUUGCUCACGUAUAAUGGGCCGGACUUGUUGUGGCUCUUCGCGUAUGAUGUUGCGCAAAUCCCAGAUUGGGCAGGAACAUGUUGGUUUCUUGUUCUUCCAUUCAGCCCCACAAGUAUAGCAGAACUCAUAUCCACAUCUACAAAGACAAUGCAAGUACAGGACAAACCACAAGAAUUAGUAACUUGGUAUAAAGUUGAAAGUGCAGGCGGCAGCAGCGAAUACAUAAACACUUGAACAAUUUUCUUAUCUUGUAGGGUAACCACUUCGUUUCUUAGAUACAAGUCAAAAGAAGAAAAAUGUGCUGCAGCAAUCAAGAAAAUAUAUAAUUACUAGAGGCAAAGAGCACAAAAGUUAGAUGGGGUACACGUGAUUGUAUGGAUAUAAUCAGGAUACAACAAAACCAAAAAUCAGAAUGUCAACAUGAUUGGGUGGUGACCCUGUACUCAUAUAUAAUAACUCAGGAAUUUUUUUGCUACAUUCAUUAGCUAUAUCCACUCUUGCACUCAAGUUGUUAAUAUGAGCUACCUAGAUCAUCUUGCUAUAAUUGGGUGUAUAUGGAAUUUGAUUGCUUUACUGAACAGUGAACACAUAUGAGUACUAGUUUUAAGGCUUCACGAAAGAUGACAAUAAUAAGUCAAUAAUAUAGAGGUAAGAAAAAGACAAAAGUCAAAUAAAAAAUUAGGAGAGAAGGGGAGGUUAGUAAAUCACCUGCAAGUAAUGUGGUAACAACCUUCUGCAAGUUCAACCAUAUUCUUGCACUUAACACACUGGCGCCAGUGUUUCUUUGUAGCCAAAGAUUUCAGCAACUGAUCUUCUUGACCGGGAUAGGGAUUUGAUCUUUUGUAAUCAUAGCAAGUCAUAUUGGAAUGCCAAGGGACCUUGCAAUUGAUACAAAAAUAGGAAUGACAUUUCAUGCAUCUUCUGGCUCCAGAUUGUUCAGCACCAGCAUAAAAGUUGCUUGUAUAUUGUAAGACUUCCGAUUUGGACAUCAAUGCAGAACACCUGGGAUUUGGGCAAUAAACUUUCUCUGUGACAGGAAUAGAAGAUUCCUUGAUUCUUUGGCUCAUAACCUCAACUAAUAUAGGUGCCAAGAAUUGUGUGCAACUGUCAAUACUGACCUCAGUAUUACAGCCUUCAUGAGGGCACUGUGCCACCUGCCCAUUAAGCAACUUAACUUCUACAUGCUGUUUCAUACAAGAAAAGCAGUACCUGUGCAGACAACCAUCAAUCGAAAACAUUUGACCAACAUUAGUGUCCUCAAAACAAAUUACGCAAGUCUCCUUCAAAGAUUUUCCAUUGCUAGUUUCUGCAGGCCAGGUGAUUUGAGAAACCAUAGCCUCUCUUGCAAAUUGAAAGGCAAAUUUAAUGUCACUACGUGCCACAAGAGAAGGACUGCAAUAUUCAAAUUUUCUUCGUAUACAUCCCAGUUGAUUGACUAAUGUGGCAAUCUUGCUGUUCCCAGGAACCACUCUGCCUGUAACCUGAAAUUAUGAGAAAUAACUCCUUUAUAUCAGCAACAUGAAAGAAGAGUUUUAGUUUCUCAGCUUUUAAUCAGAAACAAGAAGUUUAAAAUAUCAUGUGUAUCCUGUGGAAUAGAAAUAGCACGCGCGCGAGCACACACACACAUAUUCAUACUGCAAUGACAGAACAAUACAUCCUGAACUUAAUAAACUUCCAACAACAUGAUAGUACACCUUAAUGACUGCAGCAUUGCUAAGAGUGAAAUUUGAAAUUCUACUCCAUAUUUACUGCUGAAAGUGAAAUUUGAAAUUCUACCCUAUAUUUAGUUAUUUACUAGUAAUAAGGGGCAGCAAACUCGAAAAUGAUUAGCCGAGCAAUUUUGAAAUUUUGUUAAUAGUUUUAUUAAGAUAAUUAUUGACUCCCAAAAAUUUCAAGUUGUAUGGAGAGGACCUUACAGCCUCUGCACAAAACUAACUUCAAUGGUGCCAUCAGUAAAUGGCAUAAUACCAAAUAACAGAAGCCAACCACAAAACAACCAAAAACCAAGAAAGAAGACCAGACUGAUGUUAUUCGUUUCGUCACACUUCUCAUAGCUGUCCUCUGGAAUUGUGUUUUCCCUACAUAACUUAUCAAACUUCUAAACCAACCAAAAACACAUUUACUUCCCCUGGCCAAGCCACCAAAGAUUGUAGCAAGGACUACAGAGCAGCAAUCGAACAGAAAUUAAACCUAAAAUUCUCAAAAAAGAAAGAAAAAUUCCAUGUGAAUUAGUGAACAUCUAAUCAGCCAGAAAAAUAAGAACACACAAUGACAGAAAAAGAUUGACAUUUUUCAAGACGUAUGAUGCUAGAACUCUCAUAUUGGUAAAAAUGUGGUCACCACAGAAUAAAAAGAUGACAUCUUUGGCUCAUAAUGAGGGCUUUGUUCUACUACGAAACCCACUUUCCAAAUCCACAUCCAAGCCUACCAAUUACACAAGUUUAUCACAUCCUAACCAAACCAAAAUUAACAAAGAUUAGAAAACCAAGGAAGUUAUAUUGAACAUCGACAUCGAAAAAUAAAUAAACAAACAAUUAGCUAGCAAAACAAGAACACAGAAUAAAACAAAGAGCUUUACUUGUUGCUAAAAACUCACAUAUUGGUAAAGCAUAUAACCAUCACAGAAAAAAGUCAAAGUUUUCAACUCAAGAGUGAGAGCAGUCUCAAGCCCUUCAAUGAGAGCCUGAAGCUCCACAGCCUCAUUGCUCCUCACCACACCACCAUCAAACGCCUCCAGAUUCUUCCUCGCCUCGAAAAUCAGAUUAUCUCUCGGGUCACAAAUCGCAACCCCAGCCCCAGCCACCACCACCUUCGAAUCCCUAACCACCUCUUCCCCGACCAAACCCUUACAAUACAGCCUCAAACACUCACUCUCCACCGCCGACGACGACGAAGCGCCGUCGCCGCAGUACGGCUUCUCGUAGUGAUCACCGUACUUGCUCCAGUAGUCCUCCGGGACGUUGCGGACCUCGGCGGCGAAAUUCUGGUCGUGAAUUCGCCGGUCGAGGUCUUCUUUCGCCUUGCGGAUUUCGAAGAGGGAGCGCUCGUGGUCUUGGUAUUCCUGCGCGAAUUUCUCGAUGUCUUCGAGCAUCAGCGCGGCGGCGAGGUCGAGAACGUCGUCGUAUUCGUCGUGGAUGGGCGGCAGAGGAGGGGGAGGAGGAGGAGGGAGGGAAGAGGAGGAGGGGAGGUGGUGAGAGAGGGAGGCGGUCAUGGCUUCCUGCAUUUGGAGAGAGAAGGCGAUGUCGAGGUCGGAGUCUAGGGUUUUGGCGGCCAUGAGUUCUCGGGGUUGCUCCGAGAGAAUGGUGUGGAGGUCGUUUGUGUACGCCGGGGUCGCCGCCAUGGUUUAGAGAGAGAGUGAGAGGUUUCGGGGUGAAAGCGAAACGAAAUAAGAGAGAGAGGUUUGUGCUAGAGAAUAAAGAGAUACUCCUGUUCAAAAGUAAAUAAAUAAAUAAAGAGACAAAAGGAAUAUUUCCAAAAAAUAAAAUAAAAGGAGACAGAGUUUAGUACCAUUUGGUUUAAAUCUCUAACGGCAUAAUCUCUUAUCUUCUCUUAGUAGGUAGGAGAUUGUGAGAUCGACUCGUGAAGUUGUAAUAUUUUUGUUUUAAGUAUGCAACUGGGAAAAAAACAAAAAAAGAAGAAGAAGGAAAAUGAACCGCAAUGGAAGAGUUAGUCAAGUGGAAACAUGUUAUGUUAUAAGGUUCAUUCAUAUGUUGUCUAUAGUUUUGCUACAAAUCAAUGAAUUUUCAUUCUCGUAGUAUAAUUGUUCUCUGUUAAACAGUGACAAGCGUGGCUUGUGAAUCACAUUGUACUGAUAUUGUCCCAACUUAACCACUUUUAAGGUGUUAGCUAGGUUUUAAUCAUAAAAGACAUUGGUACAAUUGGAUAAGAUCCAUCCACUUAUAAGUUAUAUUUUAUUUGUCAAUUUUCUGAUGUGAGAUCUAUUCCUCUCUAUUACUUCCAACACGCCCUCUCACGUGCAACCUGACUCAAGGUCAACACGUGGAAUGAAUCAGGACAGAACGAACCAAGGGACACUUGGUGACAAUCCAAUCGGAACAUUCCAAUGGUGAGAUGAGAAGUCGGAACUGAGCGGGAGAAUAGAAUCUCGGACCGGACAAGAGAAUGAACCCAAAUCGGGUCCAUGAGAAUUGGAGAAGUAAUUGGAGAGGAACCCACUCUGAUACCAUAUUAAACAGUGACAAGCGUGACAUGUGGAUCACAUUGUACCGAUAUUGUCUCAACUUAACCACCUUUACUUAACCACAUUUUUAACCACCUUUACUUAACCACAUUUUUAAGGUGUUGGGUUUUAAUCACAAAAAGUCUCGGUACAAUUGGACUCAAGGUCAGCACAUGGAAUGAAUCGGGACGGUAUGAACCAAUUGUCCCUUGAUGACAAUCCAAUCGGGACAUUCCGAUGGUGAGAUGAGAAGCCGGAACUGGGCGGGAGAAUAGAAUCUCGGACCGGACGAGAGAAUGAACCCAAAUCGGGUCCCAUGAGAAUUGGAGAGGAACCCGCUCUGAUACCAUGUUAAAGUGACAAGCGUGGUCUGUGGAUCACAUUGUACCGAUACUGUCCUAACUUAACCACCUUUAAGGUGUUGGGUUUUAAUCAUAGAAUGUCUCGGUACAAUUGGAUAAGAUCCAUCUACUUAUAAGUUAUAUUUUAUUUGUCACUUUUCUUUAUGUGAGAUCUAUUUCUCUCCGAUACUUCCAACAUUCUCUACUUCUCUUGCAUCUGACAAUAGAAAUGGUAAUCCUCCUUAUCAUUGUCGUAUAAUGCUGCGAUCAUCCCAGAUUGCGCAGGAACAUGUUGGUUUCUUGUUCUUCCAGUCAGCUCACAAGUACAGCAGAACGAAUUGGUAUGAUUAACAUUACCACAUCGGUUCCAAAAUAAUGAAUUUUGGAAUUCGCAGAUAUAAAUGCUUUAAAACAGUUGCCACAGAAAAGAAGAGAAAUCAGCAAAAUGCAAGUCUAAAUCAGAAGUUGGAAACAGGUGAACUAACUGAUUUCCCCAAAUUUCAGUUUGUUUGGGACUGGACAUUGCAGCUUCUACGUACAAAACUAAGUUAGCAGACUCCAAUGGACUUCAGUUUCUCCUUCAAUUCAAGUGAACCAUAGCAACUUAGUUAGAGGAAAGCUUUCUCAUCAAAAUGAUAAGAAAGGUUGUUUGAAUUCUUUUUUUCUUUUUUCCAGCGAAAGCAAAGAUAUAAAGAUGUUCCCUCUUCAUGUGAUUUAUUGCAUACUGAUGUUCAAAUAUUGAGAAUCGAUAGAAAAUAAAUUGCUCAACUUCCCUAUCUGGUAGUUCCUACCGUUAUGUUCCACUUCUAGCUUUCCCAUCAGUGUCAUGUAUACACUAUACAACAUUUUGUACUUGAAUGCUGAUGCAUUAACCUCUUACUGAUGACAUUGACAAACUUUCACUUUCAUUUCCCAUUACAAUAUCAUACAUUUCCUUUGAAGAGGACAUACAUAAAACCUACUAAUGUGUCCAGAGUUAACAAAAACAGGGGCAUUUAUCACCUCAUGAACGGAUAACAAAAACUGAGCCAUAUUACAACUUAUGCUCAUCUACCCCAUUUCCGCAACACAAAUCCAAAAGAAGAAAGCAAAAGCUGACUGGCUAGUAGCAUAACCAUGAUCAUACAAAUCUGACAAAAGUUGGCUAAUCCUGAUCAUCGUCGUGGUCGUACCUGUCGUGGCUGUUCAUUUUGAAAUAACUGUCUUUUUCCUGGUAAAACUUGUCGUGGCAGCCCAGGUACAUUACGCUGCACUUGACGUGGCUGCUCAUGUAUAAUGGGCAGCACUGGAUGUGGCUGCUCAUGUAUUAUGAAGCGCUCAUCCCAGAGUGGGCAGGAACAUGUUUGUUUCUUGUACUUCCAUUCAGCUCCACAAGUGUAGCAGAACUGAUGUCCACACCUAUGAUAACAAACCACAAGCAUUGGUUUAGGAACAAAUGUGAAAUAGCAGCUUCCAGAAAAGAACAAGUGAAACUAAGGUGAGACACUGACAGGAGCUUUUUAUAGGCAAAGUUUGCUAACAAGUACAAUCAUAAAUCACAAUGGAUGUGCAUAUUAACCAGCAUAUAUCAGCUCUUUCUGGUGGUUGGAUGGUAAUGCGGAUUUCACACAUAAGAACAUAAUCUUAUAACAGUAAGAUUGAUAGUCGGAUUCACUCUCACAUUCAAGUUGUAACGAACAGCAGCUUGAGCUGACCUAAGUGUCUUAUGAUACUUGUGUUUUCAUGUUGUUUCCUCACUAACUGUUGGUGCAAAAAAUUUCGGGAGAGAGAUUACCCAACAUAAAUCACUCUCCUUUGAUUCUUGAGAAGCCUUGGACGCAUCCGUAUUGCGAUUGAUCAUAGGGAGAAGGUACCUACAAAACAAAUACACACUCCGACGCUCAAGUCAAUUUCGAUUCAAGCAGGUACAAUAAAAGAAAUCGGUUCGAUAUUUAUUACCGUUCUUAUCCAUAAUUGUUCCUCCCCAUUCUCCUCUUAAGCAUGUGAAUUUAUAGACCUUUUAUUUCUUGGUCCUCACUUCCCGUUGUAGUGGGAGUAGUGGGAGGAGCAUGUUCUCCAUGAACGAUCAUGUUUCACGUCAUUUAUCAUAAUAGUGUUCAUCUUGGGCUUUGACCAUCGAUUGGGCCUAAUUCAUUAAGUGGGGGCCCAAGCCGAAAUUUUAUACCCCCACAAUGCCCCUUUUUUCCUUUCCGUACGAGCUCCGAGUGCGGGAAGGAAAAACACAUAAAAACCAAACAUUUGUAUAUGAGGAUAAAUAGGAACUACUACAUGUUUUUACUAACUCUUGGAGAAUGAUUAGAAUAUCAUAUAAUGUUUCGUGAAUUUCGAAUCAUUUAAUGUCCGGGGACGAAUAUCUCAUGAAUUUUGAAUCAUUUACUGUCUCGUGGACUACGUAUCUUUUAGUGUUUUAAUGCCUCCGUGGAGGUCUCACAAAUCGAAAAUCAUGUCAUAUGCAAUAGCAAAAUAAUUACGACAAACUUUAUAUAAUGCCAUAACUUUAACUUGCCUUCAAAAGAUAUUGCCCCCAAUUGAAGCUUUUGUAGUGCCGAUCUGCUUCUAGCAUUGAAUAGCUGAAAAAUUGAAACCACGCCAUAUACUAACACAAAAUUCCACUAAAGAUAUGGGUUAGAGAAAUUGGAAGAUUAGAAGACAGAUGAGACUCAUUUGAUGUUGCCUCCAUUGAUCAUAAACCAUUCAAAUAUUCAAUCAAUUGUCACACAAAGCUGUACAUAGAAAACACCACAAGAGUCAGUAGUAUACCAACAUACAUAUGUAACAGAAGAAGUACCUCAUUUACUAAUAUUACUUCAUCGUUGAAAGUACUUCAUACAUUGAGUUUACAUGAUCGGUACUUAUAUGUUUUGCAAAAACUGCAAGUAUUUGAGCAAUCAUAAUGAAAUCAAAUACAUACACAGAUUGUUCUAAACACAUAGAAUCAUUUAUAAACAUCGAUCGACCAUAAGCAUAAUCAUGGAUAACAAUAUGCACUUAGUUUUUAAGACCUGGAUCUACUUGUUUGAUAUAUCAUGCUAAGAGUGGCAUUUCUAAUGUCAAAGUAGCAAUUACUCUUAUCUAUGAUAUGAAUGGCAAUGCAUGAUCUAAACACAUAUACAUGUUAACAUACGAUUCUGAUGCAAAAGAAUAGAUUCUUUGAUCAAGUAAAAGACAAAUCUCGUUAUUUGACUACCUAUUCAAAUUAAUCAAUAGAUAUUUGUAGAUUGAUCAAAGAUCAUGCAUAUAGCUAGGAAGCCACAGAAUUUACCAUAAAUAUUACAAUCUAAAAGAAAAUACAUGAAAGAUCACACAACACACAACACACAAUGCACUGCAUGUAUAAGAGUACCAAUUUUGUUUUCAUACAAAAGAAACAAAUUGAUUCAUGCCAUGAGUAGUAACGUCUAAACUUGUCUCUAAAGGGAAUCGAGAUGCUACAUGAAUUCAUACUUCUAAGAACUCCAGAACUUGCAUAUAAAAGACACACACAAUCACAAUACCCCAUAUAAAAAUUACACUACACUUAACCUGCCAAACCUGUGAUGAAGAUUAAGUCACCAUUUUGAAGAUAACACCUCUCUCACCAUGCAAUUGUAUUGGUCCAAUCCCUUAUCUGGAAGGACGCUGAAUUUCUUCCCCUUCCGUUCCCUCGGCUCGUUUCGCGUUUGGGUUAUACAAUUAAAUCGCUGCAUGCAUCACAUCAUUCCAGUAUUUCAAUUUCAGUUUGACAAUCUUAUUGGUCAGCUGCGUUCAGCGACGAGCUACCACACAACCAAUAAUAUCCUGCUCAGAUGUUCUGCCAGGUUAUUUGUGUCUUGUGUGAUCAUUCUCUUCUCCUUUUCAUACAGACACAACAAAAUUAUGUAUACACUCAAUUAUGUAAAUGAAAUUCAAAGCAGUAGUAUGGAAGAGUUUUCUUAUCGUUCUAAAGGAAUUUGUUCUGCCCCUAUUCUAGCUUGAUAUACGCGUCGAUGGUACCAAGCGACGUCCCGCAUAGAAUGUCAACACUCUUGCCCUAAAUUUGAUGUGUGCGUCCAUGGCUCCUCUACUAUAAUCUCGCGGCUUUUUGUUCAAUUCCCACAGACGGCGCCAACUGUUGAUGCAAAAAAAUUCAGAAGAGAGAUUUCCCAACAAAGAUCUCACUCCUUUGAUUCUUGAGGAGCCUUGGACGCAUCCAUACGACGGUGAAUCUAGGGGAAAGAGGUACCUGCAAAACAAAUACACACUCCGACGCCCAAGUCAAUUUCGAUUGAAGCAGGUACAAUAAAAGAAAUAGGUUCGAUACUUAUUACCGUUGUUAUCCAUAAUUGUUCCUCCCCAUUCUCCUCCCUUCCUCUCCAUAAGCGUGUGAAUUUAUAGACCUUUUAUUUCUUGGUCCUCACUUCUCGUUGUAGUGGGAGUAGUGGGAGGAGCAUGUUCUCCAUUAACGAUCAUGUUUCACGUUGUUUAUCAUGAUAGUGUUCAUCUUGGCCUUUGACCAUCGAUCGAGCCUAAUUCAUUAAAUGGGGGUCGAAGCCGAAAUUUUAUACCCCCACAAUGCCCCCUUUUUCCUUUCCGUACGAGCUCCGAGUGCGGGAAGGAAAAACACAUAAAAACCAAACAUUAGUAUAUAUGAGGACAAAUAGGAACUACUACAUGCUUUUAAUAACUCUUUUAAAAUGAUUAGAAUAUCAUAUCAUGUUUCAUGAAUUUCGAAUCAUUUAACGUCCAGGGACGAAUAUCUCAUGAAUUUCAAAUCAUUUACUGUCUCGUGGACUGCGUAUCUUUUAGUGUUUUAAUGCCUCCGUGGAUGUCUCACAAAUCGAAAAUCAUGUCAUAUGCAAUAGCGAAAUAAUUAGCAAAAUUUUUAUAUAAUGCGAUAACUUUAACUUGCCUUCAAAAGAUAUUGCCCCCAAUUGAAGCUUUUGUAGUGUCGAUCUUCUUUUAGCAUUGAAUAGCUGAAAAAUCGAAACCAACACAAAAUUCCACUAAAGAUAUGGGUUAGAGAAAUUGGAAGAUUAGAAGACAGAUAAGACUCAUUCGUUGUUGCCUCCAUUGAUCAUAAACCAUUCAAAUAUUCAAUCAAUUGUCACACAAAGCUGUACAUAGAAAACACCACCCCAGUCUGUAGUAUACCAACAUACAUAUGUAACAGAACAAGUACCUCAUUUACUAAUACUACUUUAUCAUUGAAAGUACUUUAUACAUUGAGUUUACAGGAUCGGUACCUAUAUGCUUUGCAAAAAUUGCAGGUAUUUGAGCAAUCGUAAUGAAAUCAAAUACAUACACAGAUUGUUCUAAACACAUAGAAUCAUUUAUAAAGAUCGAUCAUAACCAUAAUCAUGGAUAACAAUAUGCACUUAGUUUUUAAGACCUAGAUCUACAUGCAUAUAUCAUGCUAAUGUUAAAGUGUGUAUGAAACUCACUCAAGUAGCAAUAAUUACUCUCAUCUAUGAUAUCAAAUUAUCAAUGGCAGUGCAUGAUCUAAACAUAUAUACAUGUUAACAUACGUUUAUGAUGCAGAAGAUAAGAAAAAGAACAGAUGCUUUGAUCAAGUAAAAGACAAGUCUCGUUAUUUGACUACCUAUUCAAAUUAAUCAAUAGAUAUUUGUAGAUUGAUCAAAGAUCAUGCAUAUAGCUAGGAAGCCACAGAACUUACCAUAAAUAUUUCAAUCUAAAAGAAAAUACAUGAAAGAUCAUACAAGACACAAUGCACUGCAUGUAUAAGAGUACCAAUUUUGUUUUCAUACAAAACAAACAAAUCGAUUCAUGCCAUCAGUAAUAAGGUCCAACUUGUCUAAAGGGAGUUGAGAUGCUACAUGAAUUCAUAUAUACCUUCAAGAACUUAAACACCAACCAAUUGAGUUAUUGAAUAUGGUUCAGAACUUGCAUAUAGGAGACACACUCAAUUCAUCAUAACAUAUUAAAAAUAGCAUUCGACUCAACCUGCUAGACCUUCUUCUCUAACAUAGAGCCGAAUUCAUUGAUCAUGUUUAGAAUUUCAAAUCAUUUAACGUCCGGGGACGAAUCAUUUAAUGUCUCUUGGACUGCAUUUCAUUUACUGUCUCUUGGACUGUGAUAUCAUUUACUGUCUCUUGGACUGCGAUUUCAUUUACUGUCUCUUGGACUGCGGUUUCAUUUAUUGUCUCUUAGACUGCGAUUUCAUUUUAAUGUCCGGAGACGAAUCAUUAUCAUUGAAUGCCUCAAAGGAGGUCUUAAAAUCAAAAAUCAUGUGAUAUGGGUAUAAGCAAAAUAAUUAUGAAGAUCGAAUUUAAUAUAAUGCGAUAACUCUUAUUCAUAAAUAAGAGUUUUUCAUUCACCUCCCUUGUCAAGAUACCGUUACGAGUUUAGCUACGACUCUGUCAAAACAUGCUGCCCCAAUCUUAAGCAUUUGUAAUGUCAACUUGUGUUCACCAGUGAAUACCUGAAUAAUCGAAACAUUCCCAUAGGCAAACACAAAAUUCCACCACAGCUGCAACAUUCACCAGUAUGUUAUACCCCCACAAUUGUGGGGGUAUAAAAUUUCGGCUUAGGCCCCCACUUAAAUAAUUAGGCUCAAUCGAUGGUCAAAGCCCAAGAUGAACACUAUCAUGAUAAAUGACGUGAAACAUGAUCGUUCAUGGAGAACAUGCUCCUCCCACUACAACGAGAAGUGAGGACCAAGAAAUAAAAGGGCUAUAAAUUCACAUGCUUAAGAGGAGAAUGGGGAGGAACAAUUAUGGAUAACAACGGUAAUAAGUAUCGAACCGAUUUCUUUUAUUGUACCUGCUUGAAUUGAAAUUGACUUGAGCGUCGUAGUGUGUAUUUGUUUUGCAGGUACCUUCUCCCCAUGAUCAAUCGCAAUACGGAUGCGUCCAAGGCUUCUCAAGAAUCAAAGGAGAGUGAUUUAUGUUGGGUAAUCUCUCUCCCGAAAUUUUUUGCACCAACACUAACCAACCAAAAGAUAAUUUUUCUCUCUACAAAUAAGCUAACUGUAUCUAAUGACAAAGAUCAUAGGACAACCAAAAUAUAGGUCAAAUAGGAUGAGAGAGAGAGAGAGUAAAGCACCUGCAAGUAAUGUGGUUACAACCUUGUGCAAGUUCAACCAUGUGGUUGCACUUAUUACAGUUGCGCCACUGCUUUUUUCUAGCCAGUGAAUUCAGUAGUUGAUCUUCUUUGAGGGGAAAUGGAUGUGAAUUUUUGUACUCUUCGCAGCUCAAUUUGUAAUGCCAAGGAACCAUGCAUUCAAAACAAAAAUAGUAAUGACAUUUCAUGCAUUUCCUAGCUGCAGAUUCUAAGGCACCAGCGUAAGACGUUUUUGUAUAUUCAAAGACCUUUUUGGACAUUAAGGCAGAACACUUGGGGUAAGGUCAAUAUACUCUCUCUCUAACAGGAAUAGAAGAUUCCUUGAUUCGCUGGCUCAUAACCGCAACAAUAUUAGGUGCCAAGAAUUGUUCAUAGCUAUCGAUAUUCACCUCAGAAUUACACGCUUCAUGUGGACACUGCGCCAACAUCCCACUAAGCAACUUUACUUCCACAUGUUUUUUCAUACAAGAAAUGCAAUACCUGUGCAGACAACCAUCGAUUGAAAACAUGCGAGCAACAUCAGUUUCUUCAAUACAAAUUGCACAAGUCUCCUUGAAACUCUUGCCACUGUGAGUUUUUACACACCAGCUGAUCUGAGAAACUAUAGCAUCUCUUGCAAAUUUAAAAGCAAACUUUAUUACACUAGGUGCCACAAGAGAAGGCCUGCAAGAUUCAAAUUUUCUUUGUAGAAGAGCAACUUGAUUGACUAAUGCUGCAAUCUUGCUGUUCCCAGGAAUCACUUCGUUUGUAACCUGUAUUCAUGAAGUGCAAUCCUCUUAUAUCAGUUGCACAAUAAAAGUUCUCUGUUAUCCAGAGCAGGUUUUAUUUUAUAAAAUACAAACAUGACAUAUCCAUAUGCGAUAUCUUACAGAACACAGAUACACAGGACAUGAUACAUUGGUGAAAGUGAAUUUGAAUACUAAUAGCUAGCAAGAAACCAAGGACUCAAGUAGUCUUGAUGCAGGGACGUUUGUCAAGAUAUACCUGUACCAAAUUCAAGUUGUUUGGAAAUUGACAAUACAUCUUUUGCAUAUAUAAUUGAAAGUAACACCCAAAGCACUAGCAGUGCUCCAAAUCAAGGAACUUAUUUAACUCUCAAAAUAUCAUCAUGUUGAGGAGUUCUUCGAGUGAAAAUACAUUUUCCAUGCAUCUAUUAUUUACUCAACUACACUUCAAGCUUUAUUGCCUUGCAGUUCAACUAGUUAACCAAUGGAAUUGCUCAACCAAGAAUUCAAGAACAACAAAUUUGCCAAUUAAUUAGUAAUGUCCAAUUGAAAUCGUUAUAUCGAACAUCUCAUACAGUCAUACUCUUCCAAUUUCAUCCGUAGUUCAUUAGCCAAAACCGAUGGAGCCUAAAACCAAGCAUUUCAUUGAAACCCAUAACUAGCCCAGACAGGUAAUAAGGAACAAAGUGUAAAAAAAAAAUUCAACAAAGGGUAAAAUUAAGACUCACAUAUUGGUAAAGCUUGUCGUUAUCAAUGAAAAAGGUGACAUUUUUCAAGUCCAAUGUGAGAGCUUUACUCAGCCCUUCACACAGAGCCUCCAGCUCCGCAGCCUCAUUGCUCAUAAUCUCGCCCUCAAUCAACACUUCUAGAUUCUUCUUCGCCUCGAAAAUCAGAUUAUCUCUAGGAUCACAGAUCGCAACCCCAAUCCCACUCACGUUCUUGAUCAUCUCUUCACUGAUCAAGCCCUUACAAUACAAUCUCAAACCCUCAGCUUUCGAAGACGACGACCCGUCCGUACAGUACGGCCUUUCGUAUUCGUCUCCGUACUCACUCCAGUACUCCUCCGGCAAGUUUGAGACGUCGACCGCGAACUUCUGGUCGUGAAUACGACGGUCGAGAUCCGCCUUGAGCUUCUUCACCUCCAAAACGCUGCGUUCGUGGUCCUCGUACUCCUGAGGAAACCUCUCCACGUCUUCGAGCAUGAACGCUGCGGCGAGGUCCAAGACUUCGUCCUUGGGCUCGUACGGCGGCGACGGAGGCGGAGAGCGGGAAGUACUGGAGGAGGGUUGGAGAGCCAGAGAGGCGGUGAGGGCCUCUUUCAUUUGAAGAUUGAAGGCCAUGCCGAGGUCGGAGUCUAGGGUUUUGGCCGCCAAGAGCUCACUACGCUGCUCGGCCAGGAUGGCCUGGAGGUCUUCUGCGUCUCCACGAUCGUCCAUGAUUUCUGUUUCGCAGAGCAGUGUGGUAUGGACUUUUUCGCGCUUCUUGGGAAAUGAAGUAGAGCAAAAAUAGUAGCAUUAGCUUCUCAGAGAAGGAAGGGCAGAGAUGGUCUUGGGAAACCAGAGUUGAUUGGAUUUCAACACGUAGAGACUUGUCUAAUCUCACUAGCUAGCUCCAAGACUACAACCAUGGUAGUCAUCUUUACUUUCUUUCGUCGGAAAAAACCAGUUUGCACUAAAACGACGUCACUGUGUGCUCGACGUCACUAGUUUUAUAGACUAAUUCAGGAUUUUUUUUUAUUAUCAUCCGAUCGUUUUGAAUUUUAAAUUGUUAUACGAUCGGGCGACUCACGACUUGUUCUAUGUCAUACAAAUAUGUAUAACAGCCGAAGCCAACUAAUUUGUGGUUAUCAAUAACAGAUUACGAUUAAACAACAAUCCAUGUUAACAAAAUUCGAACAAGAAUGUGAGUACACAGUACCUAAAAUAUUUAAUAACUUGAUCAAUUGUUGUGGUUAUUACUAGUUGUAACUACCGCAGACAUUACAAUACCGGCUAGUCUUUUUUGGCAAACAAUAAUUGAUGAUAAUAGCUAGUUUCUUUUUUUUUGAUACGAGAUGAUAAUAGCUAGUUAGUACGAUAGAGCUAUCUAGCUAGAAUGCUAGAUACUGUGCCAAUAUGGUUAGCCCAAGUGAAUGUUCAUUCUAAGAAUCUAAAUAUAGUUGGCCAGCAAUUUUGGGUGAACCGUGACAACUCCAUCUCCUGCCGCCUUUAACAUGAGGAUGAUCAGUAACAGCUCCAGACCAGGCAAACGUAUAUGUAGUAUUUGCCGACUCCUCAAUGCAAUGCUUUACAUAUAGAGUUUCAGACUGAAGAAACAAAAUAAAAACCUUAUAAUUUAGCAUCAUUUGUCCUCAAGUUCUUUACCCUUCCGAUUUACUAUAUAUUUAACUAGAUAUUAUGCGGCCUCGCACCGCCUUACUGUUCCCGUGAACAGUGUAAUUUGGGCUUGGGCUUUUUCUUUUCUCCCUGAUCUCUCACUCGGGCUUGGGCUUGAGUCUCCGUAUUCUGGUUUUUUUGUUGCUCCCUCUCAAUCUCUCUCGAAACUCCACCGAAUCGUCUUUUCUUCGUCCCUAUGAGUCCUCUUCCUCUUCUUCGUUCCUGCCCUUUUCGAAAGGAGAAGAGAGAUCGCUUCCUUGACCGAUCAGUUCAAUCCCUCUUUUUUCUCUGCACUCUCUGUUCUUCGUCUCUCUCUUCUUCUUUGCUCUCUCUUUUUCCUUCUCUCUCUCUUCGAUGGUCGCUCUUUAGUCGUUCUGGGUUUCUGGCAUCUUCGUCAACUGUCACAAACAGAAGAUGAAGAUGAGAGAGGGAGCAAGGUUGUUUGGUCGAGACUCGAGAGAAAGGGAGAUAAUAGAUUGUUCGAAGCUCAAAUUCGUUGCCCUGUAAGCCUCCCGGUUUCUUUCUUCUUCUUCGUUGUUUCUCUUGCGCCGAUCUUCUUCUCAAAGUAUCUGUCAAAUUUCAGUUUUCUCUACAACCAGCUGAUGGAGAGGUAGAAGAAUUGUUUUUUGGUAAUAAGAGCAAGAAGAAUUCAGGCAAGUAUUUACUAUAUACCUAUUGCUUGAUCACUGUUCAGCUACAGUAAUUUACUGUUCAUCUACAGUAAAAACAGUUUUGGGCUCGGGCCUAGUUUUUUUUUUUUUUUGCUGAAAAAAAAAAAUUAGAUUGGGCUUUGCAGUUCUCACACUAUUUAGAAAGGACCAUCUAAAAUUUGCUCUGUUCUGUUUCCAAUGAAAAGAGUAGAUUGGGAAAAGAGUGAAAGAAAGAAUCGAGGAGAAUAACAUAAGAAAUAUACUCUUACUACUAUGAUAAGUGCUUUGUUGUUAAGUAUUUCAAAUUGAAUCUAUAUAGAUCUUGCACUUUGAUACAUUAGAAAUGAGAAGAAAAGAAAAAAAAUUAUGAACACAAAUCUCGCAAAUCCCGCGGCAAAACGCGGGUCAUAAUUCUAGUAUUAGACUAAUCUUGAAAUCUUGAUCCUGUUAAUAUAACAACGGUCAUGGUAAUUCCGAUCAUCAUCAUGGCCACUUAUGCGGAAAGUAUGUACUCCUCGUCCCAGAGUGGGCAGGAACAAGGUUUCUUAUUGUCCUUCCAUUCAGCUCCACAAGUGUAGCAAAAUUGAUAUCCACAUCUACAAAGACAAUACAACCAUGAGACAAGUCACAAGCAUUAGCACAACAUAAAAGAUAGAUGCAUUGAGAGAUAACUAAAGAAAUAAGGUAAGGUCCUUGAAUUAGAUCUGUUGAUAGAGAAUUAGCAUCUUGAUCAGGUAAAACAAAAGUAUAAAUCAUAAUGAAAUCACAUAUCCACAGAUUGGCUUUUGGUCACUGGGUUAUAGUUUCCAUUUCACACAAAAACUAGAGCAACUAGCAUCCAUAUAUGUAGUUAACAUAGUUACAUGGGUAUUUAGUUGCUCAAGUUAAGCCAUCUUGAUUUCACUGAGCAUACGUAUAUCUCCAUACCGAACAAAAAAUACCCUCUUUGCUAGUGCUAACUUAUGAGAUUGGCAUGAACAGUUUAUAACUUGACAGGGGUGCACCAUAUGAAUAUGUAUUGGUCAAAUAGAAGAGUAAUGUACCUGCAAGUAAUGUGGUAACAACCUUGUGCAAGUUCAACCAUGUGGUUGCACUCAACACACUGGCGCCAGAGUUUCUUUGCAGCCAGUGACUUCAGCAUUUGAUGUUCUUUAGGGAGAUUGUGUGAUGUUUGGUAGUCAUCACAGGUCAAUCCAAAAUGCCAAGGAACCAAGCACUUGAUACAAAAGUAGUAGUGGCAUUUCAUGCAUUUUCUGGCUCCAGAUUCUUCAGCACCAACAUAAGUAGUUUUGGUAUAUUCUAAGACCUCCUUCUUGGACAUUAACGCAGAGCACUUGGGAUAUUGGCAAUAGACUCAGUCCGUAACAGGAAUAGAAGACUCUUUGAUUCGUUGAUUCAUAACCUCAACUAGUUUAGGUGCCAAGAAGAAAUUCUCAUAGCUAUCUAUAUUAACCUCGGAUUCACAGCCGUCAUGAGGACAAUGUGCCACCAUCCCAUUAAGCAACCUUGCUUCCACAUGCUGUUUCAUACAAGAAAUGCAAUACCUGUGCAGACAGCCAUCGAUUGAAAACAUUCGAGCAACAUCAGUGUCUUCAUAGCAUAUGACACAAGUCUCCUUCAAACACUUGCCAUCGCUAGCUUCUGCUUGCCAGGAGAUCUGAGAAACGAUAGCCUCUCUUGCAAGUUUAAAUGCAUACUUAAUAUCACCACGUGACACAAGUGAAAGUCUGCAGGAUUCAAAUUCUUUUUGUAGAAGAGCAGCUUGGUUGACCAGUGUUGCAAUUUUGCUGUUUCCAUUAACCACUCUGUUUAUAACCUACAAUUUUUAAAAUGUCAGUUGUCUAAUAAGUGGCACCAAUUUAGAAGUUAUAGAUACAAUGUUCUCUAUUAAGCCAAGAAGUAUACUACAUAUAGACAACAAGCUAAAAUGAAACUUUUUUCUUUUUUUUUGUUCUUUUUCUGGUAAGAGCUAAAAUGAAACAAGUCAAAAUUGGGAUUUAGGAGCAAAUGCAAGAAAUGGCUCACUUCGAGUUGUUUGCUGACUUAUGAAGUUAACUAAGUCUAAAAAUUUCAAGUACAGCCCCCUGUUCACUACCAAACCCAUAUCAAUCAUUCUGUUAAAUUCCAUAUAGUUUUUACCAACAUCCGCAGUUUUCGUACAAGCCGACACUAGCUAGUAGCUACUAUCAUGAACAUAAUACAAAUGCAAACCAAUGAUUCAAAUGAAAUCAAGUAAAAUGAUGAACAUCAAAGUUACCAACUAAAUUUAUCAAAAAAAAAGUUACCAACUAAAUAGCACCCAAAAUAGUAAAUGAACAAUCAAAAAUGUACUUGAUGCUGAGACUUACAUAUUGGUAAAGCUUGCUAUCAUCAAAGUAAAAUUCGACAUUCUUCAACUUCAGAGCAAGCGCCUUAUUAAGCCCUUCAUUCAGCGCCUCAAACUCGGCAGCCUCAUUGCUCAGUCUCUCCCCAUCAACCACAGCCUCUAGAUUCUUCUUCGACUCGAAAUCACAUUAUCUCUACGAUCACAAAUCGCAACCCCAAUCCCACCCACCGCCAUUUUCACAUUCUUCACCACUUCUUCACUAAUCAAACCCUUGCAGUACACGCUAAAACACUCCGUCUCCGCCGCAGCUUUUCCCGACGACGACGCCCCAUCCCUAGAGAACAGCCUUUCGUACUCCGACGAGGGAUUGAGCGCCAGAGAAGCGGCCAUGGCUUCUUGCAUUUGAAGUUUGAAGGCCAUGUCGAGGUCGGCGUCUAGGGUUUUGGCCGCCGAGAGCUCACUGCUCUGGUCUGAGAGGAUGACGUGGACGUCGUUUUGGUCCGUUAGGGUUUCCAUGAGGGUCUGAGAGUGAGAUUAAAGAGUAAAGUUUGGUAGAGAAGGAAAGACCAAGAGGCGGAGAAGGUCUUUUGGGAAAAUGAAAGUCCGUUCGAUUGUACUUUGAUUACCAACUUUUUGUUUCAUAUAAUCGAAAAAACAUUUUGUUUCACAGAAAAAGAAAAUUGAUUAAUUAGAGUUUUUAUUUAGUUUGAGUGUUUGACAAGCUUUGACCGUGGGCUUUUUCUUUUAAUUGAAGAAAAUACAAUUAUAACAAUAAUCCUCUUUUACAACUAAACUAAAACAAAUCAAAACGAAAAGCUUCAGCUGCUUGAAGAGGAACAACAUACGCAUCCAAACCUUAGCAUUAGGAAGCGAGCGACCAAUUACUUUAGCUAAAGAAUCCACAAAGAUUGGCUUAUCUGAAAACAUGAGAGAAGGUAACCGAGGCAAAACACUUCGCAAUAGGAAGGAUUUCCUAGACAAGAGAUCUGAGACAUCAAGGAACAAUGCUAGCAUCUUCGACACAAGGAAUGCCAACAAAGUUAUAAAAUUAUGAACUUCUAUUUCAAAGUUUAAAAUUCUUCUACAUAUCGAGGUGGAAGUGAACCGAAAGUUAUAACACAAUCUCAACUCGUUAUACGGCAAUAACACAUGUAUAGGGAUGUCAAUAAUCCCCAGCGGGUAGGGUACCCACGGGUAUUCGACCCUAACGGGGAAGAUAUACGGGUAUAAACGGGUAACGGGGAUGGGGAUCCUUAGUAUUCGGAUUCUUAAAUCGGGUACGGGGCGGGUAUGGUAUUUUGAUAUUCGUCCCCAUCCCCACCUAUUAAGGAUGAAAAUAUUAUUAUAUAUAAUUAUAUAAUUUAUUAUUAUAUAUAUUUAUAUAUAAUUUAUAAAUAAAUAUUUAUGUAAAAAAAUUUGUAAUUCUCUUAAUAAACAUUUAAUGAACCUUCCUUUUUAUUAUAUAUUUUUAUUCUCUUAAUGAAAUUUACCGGUAUUGUUAUGUUUUAACCAAGACUUGUAUUUAUUUUUAUUGGAUUGAAGUAUGAAACUUAUUUAUUUUGGUAUUUGAUUUUAAUUUCAUACUUUUAUAUAAUUGUAUUUCGUAUUUAAAAAAAAAAAUUUAAUUUAAUACAUAAUUGUUAACGGGUACGGGUACGGGUAUGGAAACGUAAUCCCCAAAGGGUACGGGUACGGGGAAUCUCCAUUAUCUAAUUACGGGUACGGGGACGGGUACGGGGAUGAAAAAUGUAAAAAGGUAUGGGUACGGUAUUUUGAUCCCCGUACCCUACCCUACCCAUUGCCAUCCCUACACAUGUACACGUAGCAGAAACACGGCUACCAGGCCCAUAGACCAGGGCAGAUACCAGCAUGGCUAGGAUGGGUAUCAACCCAUUACCCCAAGAUCAUCACGGGCUUGUAAAGAAAGUCAUAAAACAAAGUGGUAUGACAAACCAAAAUGAGACAUUUGUCCCACAUUGAAAUGAACAAGACGAAUAAACACAUGAAAGACUAUUUAGGGAGCCCUACCACCAAUCAAGAGAGGUAACGCGUGACUCCCACAUUUAUUGUUCUUUUACCGCACGUGAUUCUAGCUCUACUAUCAAAGAAGGAAAGGUCGUUGCAAGAGAAGUAAAGGAAGUCCACAAAACCCCUAUACACCAACCCUAUGGGAUCACGCAAAAAUAUUUAGAACACGUUUAUUAACUUGGAAUAGAAAUUAUCAUGACUCGGUAUUAACAACAAUGUAUUAACAAGAAUCGAGAAUAUUUCAUAUCAUUCUAUUGUUUACUUACCAUAAAGAAUCAAAAUAGGAAUGAAAUAAAUGACGAUUGAUGUGGUUUACUUAGAUGUUGUUUACUUACCGUAUGGAAUCGGAAUUAAAACUAGUUUGGUUACUAAAAUACCCAUACAAGAAAUGAAUUUAAAAUACCCUUAAAAUAUAAUAUUGUUCUAGGAUAUUCUGUAUCUUUCUAGAUAUUCUUUAUAUGUGCCUUGGCCUUAUGUCAUUAGGAUAUGUAGUUUAACUAGAUCUAUGUAUUCAUAUCCUUACCGUAUUGGUAUUGUGUAAUUUCCUAUAUAAAUGGCUCCUAUUAAUGAAUAAGAUGAUGAUUCUCUUGCUAUCUCUUUGUCUCUACACUUUAUCCUUCAUCACGUUAUCAUGCACUUUGUUCUAACCCUAGAGUCAAUAGCCCAGCAUUUGUUUUCCAAACCCUAAAAUCGGGUAGCCUUGUUUUUCCCAAUUUCCGACCAAAAUUCUGACUGCCCUUCGCCGGAAUUUUAUAUCCCCAGAAAGCUCUCUCCGUCCCGGAUCCAACGCCGCCAGUCUCACCUUAAGAACCGGCUGGAAAGUCUCCGAACCGGCAGCCGGAAGAUUUCAGACCACCGUCGCUACCGACCACGGGUUCACCACCUUCCCUUGCUCCGAUCAACCUGAAUUUUUGAAAGAAGCUUUUUCAUCUAGAGCUGCUCUUCCUAUCAAAUUUUCAGCCCCAAAUUCGAAGCAGAAGUAGGCGAAACGUUAUUUCUCCUCUCGGCAGCCUCUAGAAACCCAAACCGGAUGUUCUCGGCCUUGCCUCGGCCGCCUCUGCCGUCGUCACUUCCCGGCCAUCCACUCCGCUGCUUUCUUUUUAUCCGAUCAAGUAUUCAAGUGUUUACGGUAUGUUUAUUUUACAACCCUAAAACUCUUCCAAGUUCAAUAACCUCGAGGGAGAUAAAGUGUUUUCUCCCUUUCUUCUACUCCAUUCUAUGCUUGGGUCGGUGUAUUUGUAGGUACCAAAAAUCCCGGAAUUUUAUUCGCGGGUCAAGAGUGUGUUUGAUCACUCUUGUUUCCUUGUCCGGGUUGUGUAUGAUCAACCCCAACCUAUCACCGGAUUGUGUUUGAUCAAUCCGAGGCCUUUUUCCGAAUUGUGUUUGAUCAAUUCGGGCUUUUUCGGAUUGUGUGUGAUCAAUCCAAAGGACAAACCAUUAAAAGCAUUGUUUAUGACCUCUAUCGAGUCUCAUAACAGCUUGGUUUUGUAUGCAAGAGCAAUGUAACAUUCUGCUCCUUUAAGUUUUGACGUACUAGAUGCCUAUGGCGGAUCUUCGCUUGGUAUCUGUGGAACCUUUCAUUGGAAAGGAUUAAACCACAUGUUUUGACCCCCAGGCUAACAAGCCUAGAUGCCGAGAUUUUACAUCUCAUGCGUUCAAAGUCUUUGACGCGCCACAUCGACAAAAGCCUUCAAUGACAAUCUGUGCAAAAAGUAAUGACCACAAAGUACUGUGGAAUGCACUCAUGGAGCGUUUCUUGAAACGUUCAUAUAACUCUAUUUGUUGAGUUAUUAGUCAAGUGGAUUGCUUACCACCUUAAUUGACUACAUAUGGGUCACGGCAAUGGUAGAAAACAUCAUGCCGAUGUCUAGAAAAGAGGGGGAGGUGCCGCCGGCCCUAAUGGCGACACUCCCGGUCUAGACACCAAUUAUAUUUGUCAAAACUACUCACGUCAGCUCAUGACAAUGUAACCGUUGUGGAUCUUUGGAUCACUGGUUCAAAAUUGUCAAACUCCUUCAAACUGUGAAUGCAUACAAAAAGGUACGAAAAAUCAAUAUGAGGACAAGAACGUCAUCCUCAUGAUCGCGAAUUUUAAAGAUUUGGAUCCUGCUUUAGCUACCCAUGACUUUGACGUCAUCGGCUAGACAUUGAUUUUCGUUCCAAGCUAUAUGUACUAAGGCGUUGUAUCGACGUCCUUCGUCUAUUUGUGACCUCGAUGUACUCACAUUAGCAAUAAUGAAUGCCUUGAGAAUUUUUUCGAAGUUAUGAAACUAUUCUCCUCUUAUGGUUCGUAUUGAUUAACAAAAAAGAUGUACAUUCUUACAUCGUCCUUAGAAACAUGGCAUAUUGUGCCGAUUUUGAUCCCUUCAUUUGAAGGUGACUCAUGGCACCGCAUCCUCAAGGAGGAUCGCCCACGUGUUUCCGGUUAAGUCUUCUACCCUAUAGCGGAUUUUUCAUCAUCAAUUGUUCAACUAGGCUCAUCCAAGCUCAGUGUGAUGUCUUAAAAUUGUCCGAAAUUAAGGAGAUAGUGGUUUCAAGUGUGCCUCGCACUACCGACCCUCCACGAACAUGCCUGGUCAUACUGACUUGGAGUUACCGAAGGCUUUUGAUUUUGGAUCCCCUUACGCUAUUAAACCAAUUGCCGUCUUGCAAAAGACGUUGAAGACUUAUCAAAACCGGAAAAUUAUCAUCAUGAUCUAAUCCUCUAGGUCUUCUGAGUUAGUUUAUGUUCAUGUCAGGGAGCUUUUGCUAACUAGUCAUGUAGUUUACGACCUUAGAACGACCGAAAGGACUUGGUUUUGAUCAUACACACGUCACUUUUGGCUAAGGCAAAAGCUUACGCCACCUGCAAGCUUCACAGCUUCGCACAUGCCAAUUCUGCAAAAAACAGCAAUCUGUCCCUUCUAGACAGUCAACUUCGUUUGAGCUUUGUGAACAGCUCCAGACGAACCAGACAAUGAGCUUUAUAUCAUUGGAAAGCUCUAUGAGUCUAGUUUUCAGAACUUUUCGCGGUUCAUCUAUAUCUAUUUUAACGAAGAAGUUAUGGCUGUUUUAGUACGCAAAGGUCAUUCUGUGCGGAAAUUUUUAUGCACUCUCGGGAUUGCAGCUUUUUGUAGCUUCUUUCAAUCCUUCUAAAUUGUUCAAGUGGAACUAUUUACUCACCUAUCUACUCCUUCUUGUAGAUAUGUCUUAUAGAGACAUUGAGUGAUUCACAUAUAGUGGAAUUACCCACAACAUUCUAAGGACCGACAACUAUCUCUGGGUUUUGUGCCUUAUAAAUCUUCUGUGACUACAAUGAUUGAAUCAUACCGAACCAUAUUGAGCUUUAAAGACACUCCUGCUAAUAGUUUUCAUUUGAAAACACAUUGUGAGAAUGAACAAGAAUUCUUUUGUGUAUACCUUCUCAUGAAUGCGGACUGAAGCGCAUCUUGGAGAACUUCAUGAGUCAAUCUAGUGGACUGUAUGUCACUAUGAUUCGAAUAUCGAAUCCAUGUUGUCACCAAACAUGAUAUUUGGAACACUGACUCAUAUAGGCUUUGGUUUUGACUAAUUAAGGUCAUCCUGGAAGAGAUAUAAUGGCCUAAAUUUUGAGAAAUUCUCAUGGACAUCCAUUCUUUCGCUCAAAAUGAAGACAUUCGAGAUCUAACAUCACCAUGAAGCAUGGUGGUGACCCGGGGGACAUUGACGUCACCCGAACACGACUCCAACUUCCUAGAGGUCGUCCGGUCAAUUCCUCAAGCAAUUGAGGUGCACCGGCCUUCCCUCGAUGUCGCAUUGGCCCCCUGCAAUGCUCAUUGCUCGUUUUGAAAGCCUAUUCUUUAGCUAAAUUAGGAGUGAGACCCUCCUACGCUAAAUAACACAAAAGUGAACAUUUUAUUCUUACAUCAAACUAUGUAGAUAGAUACAACCAACUUGCGGACACCUUUUUAUGUUUUAUGGUGUUGGUUGAAGUGUUAACACACUAGUCACGUGUUACACUAUUAUCUACUGUUUAUGCUGCUUAUACUUCUACGGGCUCACUACCCAUUCUUUAAAGAAGUUUAUCAGGAUGUAAGUUGAAGUGUCCUGUACCCCAUGUUCACACGCAAUACGGUCUCACCGAGGCUAUGACCAAGCAACUUUAGCUUGUCGCUCGAACAUUAUUGAUGCGCACCAAUCUUUCUAUUGCGUCUUAGGGCUUUGCAAUAUUUGCAUGCAGCUUUACUAUUCUUCUACGACCCACCAUCAUCAAAUAUUUUUGUACUACAGCUUGUGACUGUGUACCAGGAUUGCAAUCCUUGAGCUCAAAAAAGAUUGAAACGGAUCUCCAAUCCUUGAGCUCGGCUAAAUGUUAUUUCUAGGUGCCAAAUCGCAUUGUCACUGCGCACAAUGAUGGGUCAUUUGAGAUGAAUAAGUAUUUAGGUUGGAUGUGAACCUCCACCUAUAAUCCGCAUAUGUAGAAACCUUGUCAGGCGAUCUCUUUCACCGCUAUAUUGCGGAUGGUCACUUUGAUGAGACAAUAUUCCCGUCGUUAGGGGGAGAUAAGAACACAAGUGUUCAAGUGGAACGACGUGAAUUGUCGUGGUUUGUCCCCACUAAGUCUCAUCUUGAUCCCAAAUACUUAAAGUGUUAAAAUGACGAGAUCACAUGCUGCAAAUAUGUCUGCAAAGAUUGAUGUCCCAUCAAGAGGACAUGGCGUGACCAAAAUGUGUUGGUCUUGACGCCAUCACCAUGAAUGGUGAUAUAGUGACGCCAUAUAGUGGCAAAAUUUGUGUCACAAGGCCGUGUGGCUCCCUAAAAGGAGGGAGGCCCUUAGGUUCGAUAUUUUCUCGCACUAGGAAGAAAGCUAGCUUGGCACAACCUGAUCCAUUGAUCAGUGAUACUCAAACCGUCUCAUGAAGUCUGAAUUGUGAUUAUCGGUGGGGGACGCCUCAAUGUCAAAUCCAAUCCAUAUAGAGAUCUCUACAAGUAUUACACUAGUGUACAUGAGGACGUGGGAUAAUGAGUCUACUAUUGAACCACCUUUCGUUGAUGGAUAUCAACUUAGUUGAUUGGCCUAAUGGAAAGAUGCGAUCCAACAUUAACAAAGAGAUAGGUCCUUCGGCAGGUGAUGCCGACACCGCAAGCUAAACCCUAUCAACUAUGUCUUUGUUAGAUAGCGUAGUGAGAACAAGAGUUUAGACUCAUCUUAUGGCGCAAGGUCUCUCACUAACACGCACUGGGAUCGACUACGAUGAGAUAUGCUCUCGUAAUGGAUAUCAUUGAACUCCACUACUUUGUCAGUUUGGUAGUUUCUGAAUAACUGAAUAUGCAGCCUAUGAAUGUGGUCAUAAUAACAUCUCUAUGGGAUCAGAGAUAUAAGGAUUUCAUUCAUCCGAAUCAAGUUGCUCCAGACCACAGGAGCACGCGUUUGCUAAAGGUAUUGAAACGCACAUGGACUAUACUUGAUUUGGAAAGGAUAUGGUGAAUUAUGUCUUUGCGUGUUCAUUCCGGAUUUACAUGGACUCUUGAUGGAUCAAGAGAUGCAAAUGCAAAUAUGUAUCAACAUCCGAAGAAAAAGAUCUUGGGAAGACACGGUCUCGAUAAACCACUCGAUGACUGUAUUGAUGAUGAUUUUCCAUCAAUCGGCUUAGGCGCUCUUACGAAAGUGAGGCCUACAUAUACUCCCAUGAUUAGUCAAGGUCUUUGCUCUAAUGAGAGAUCCGUUGUUUUGUCUAAAGCAAGAUGACAAAUAUGUGUUAAGAGAUGGAGUUCCCAUCUAAGUACAAUAAGACGCAUCAAUGUACUCAACACAAUACGAAAGACUUGACAUCUCAUUCGCUAUGAAAAUUUGUAAAGCUAAGUGUAGCUAUGCGCCCACGCAAUGCCAAUGUAAUGGCAGUAACUCCUUUUUCAAUACUUAAUGGUAUGAAAGGUUGAGGCUUAUUCUAUCCCUACAUAAGAAAGACACAUCAAUAGCGAAAUCAGAAUCUGCCAAGUUUCGUAGGUCAACUUCCACGGGACCUACAGGAAAUCUCACUCACUGGAAAAUGGUGAAAUUGGUACCAUUGGAAAUAUUUAUGUGUCUACUUUCCAGGGACACCAACCAUUUGAUCAUACCUAUCAUAUUGAGUGAGUUAUGGCCGUUUUCGUAAAGUAGGACGAAUCUGUCCGAGAAUCUGAUUUUGGCAAAACAGUCAACUUCGACGGGACUUUGUGAAUAGAUCCUAGUGAACCAGAACGAGUGUAAUAUACGGUUGGAAAGCUAAAUGAGUCUAGUUUCCAAAACGAUUUACGGUUCGUUCAUAUGUAUUUUCUAGAGGAAGUUACGACUGUUCUAGUAACUGAAGGUCAUGCUGCGCGGAAAUUUGAUUUCCUGCACGAACUUAUGUCUUCAGUUCACAAGCGGCCUUCUCCUCAAGAUCUAAGUGUAAAAGAUCAUUUGAGGACAAUACGGCAUGAUUUAGUUAAUCAUUGUCUAAUGCCACAUUUGAAAACAUGUUAAAGAGCAUUGACAUGCUAAGUUGUUGAAAUUUCCGUGAUUAGUAAGAAUCAGGAAGAGCCCUAUGAUUGAUGUAAAGAUCAGGGGGAGGUGCGAACUUCAGGGGGAGUCUAGCACAUACAUACAUGUCACUAUCAAAUGUGAAUGGUGCGUUGUACUCUUUUUCUCCUACGAUCAAGGUUCAGUUUUUCUCCCACAGGGUUUUUGUGGCUUGACGAGGUUUUUGACGAGGCAACAUAUCAGCACCAUCGGCAUAUCAGCGCGCGGCACAAGGGGGAGUGUUCUAGGAUAUUCUGUAUCUUUCUAGAUAUUCUUUAUGUGUCUUGGCCUUAUGCCAUUAGGAUAUGUAGUUUUACUAGAUCUAUGUAUUCAUAUCCUUACCAUAUUGGUAUUGUGUAAUUCCCUAUAUAAAGGGCUCCUAUCAAUGAAUAAGAUGAUGAUUCUCUUGCUAUCUCUUUUUCUCUACACUUUAUCCUUCAUCAAAUAUAUAUUUUUAGGGUUAGGUAAUUUAGAAAUGUUAUAAUUAUGUGAGGAUAUUUUAGGGAGAAAAGGUUGAUUCUAUUACCUUGAUUCUGAUACCCAUCUCCUCUCUUGGGAAUCGAAUAAGAGGUUUCGUCAAGAAUCAAUUCUUGAUAAGCAAGUGUGACCCAUAUCCAUUCCAAUACCUUGACAUGUUAGUAAACGCUGGAAUUCAUCCAUUCUGGAAUCAAUUACAGCACUCUCAAUUUCAUUUCAGGUUAAUAAACAUACCCUUAAUUAGUGUCGUAUGUGGGAUUCCUUACUUAAAGCCUGCGUGCCUCAAUCAUUGAGGGAAGCGAGCAAGGUACCCUCAGGAGGAUACAACACACACGUAUCAUUCUCCCCAGUGGUAGAUGCAUCGGGUAGCUCAAGAAUAAUGGAACAACAAUAGCGGGAGUGGUCCCCAGAAGGAGUCCCGUGGGAUUUGAUUCAGGAUGACAUAGCAGAAAUGAUGGAGAAAAUGUGAGCGGAUAUCUCCUACCUAGAAAGAGAAAGAAGGACCUUGAAGAAGCCAUGGCACGUCAAAAGCAUUAAAGAAUGAGAAUGCGGCCCUAACAAGUGCAUCAGACCGGAGAAUAGUCCAAGGUGAAACGAUCAACAGGGCCUUAGCCAACACAUCCCAACAUGAGGGAGGAAUGGAAAGUUAGGUUGCCCUAGAGAUCUGAUCGACAUUCAGGAUGGAGAUUGUUAACAUCGGUGUCAAUUAGUUCCCGGAGGAUAUGGUGAGUCAAAGACCCCCACCGCCACCGCAGUUUGUAGGAGGGCUACCAGAAGAAAUAACGCCGGGGUAGAGGCCUAACAGCCAUCAGGAGAAAGCUUUGAAGAAAGAUUAGGCCAUACUCCAGUGCCAUUUUGGAAGCGAUACAGUCCAACACAAUGAAACCGCUAAAACUAUAGUAUACUAGGGCGGGUGAUCCCUUCCAGCACCUCGACAACCUCUUUUAUGAUAUAACAGUUACAGUUUAUUAAUCAUAGUGCUUAUUUUAAGGUUUGUAAUAUUAACAUGACUCCAGUUUUUUAGGUUGUUUUUGCCUGGUUCGAUUUUUACGUAUUAUGUUCAUAUUGUGUUAUUACAUUUCCUUUCAUCAAUAAAAUGACAUUGCGUCCUGGUUUAAAAAAAAAAAUAAUAUAUAUAUAUAUAUAUAUAAUAAUUAAAACACCCGCCCAGAUGCUACUCGGGCAAAGGGAAAGCUUGAAGCGCUUAGACGUGUCGGGCAACUUCUUUAAAGACACCGGUGAAAAGUACACGUCUUAUUUGCUUUUUCAUCUCCAGCAAAGCUCCAUCGUGCACAAUUUUUUGGUAACACUGUUCUACAUGAGUAGUAUAUUAUGUGCAUACUGCCAUGAUCUGUGCUUAUCAUUAUUAAGAGAUGCAGAAACCUCAAAGCAAGUAAUUGAAGUCCAAACUACACAAAAAGAGAUCCUUAUAAUACCUGGCCAAAGUUAUAAAAGUAAAACAAUAUACAUAAUUUUCCAGUCAGUGAAAAUUUUAGAAAAUUUUAGGGGAGAAUUCUUUGGAGAGGGUAUGUCACAUAUCAAUGAUUUCCUAAUCAGAAUCAGAAUCAGGAUCCGACUCCUCUUCAUCAGAUUCACCAUCCUCAUCAUGCACAAUAUUACCUUCAUGCCAAAGAGGGCAUUUACAUGUUGCCUUCUUGUGUUUCCAUUCAGCUCCACAAUUAUAGCAGAACUCAUAAUUACACCUAAAAGAGAAAUAAAAACAAUCAGUGGAGCAUAUACAUUAUAUACAGUCGCUAGCAAACUUGAUCUUCAACAACUUAGGAUUAGGAAAUAACAAUACAGAUAAGAAUCAAAAUUUCACAAGAGUGCGGUUAUUAGGACCUCCAAAUUUGCUCAUUUGACCUCACUCUAUUAUGAAUUAUUAAAUGACAUAUUUAUCCUCUUACACAAUGACUAUUAAGGACACUAAUUAAACAAAAAGUAAUAUUACAUUUAUUCUCUCUAAACUUUCUAAUUCAAUAAUAAUGGAUUAAUGCAUUUUAUUAUUUUCCUUAUUAACUUUUAUUUUCUAGUUUUACCACAUACUUAUUAAAGCAUUUAUAUAUUUAUAUUAUCAUACAUGUCACAUGCAUAUACAAAGUAAAAAAUAUUUUUACAAAAAUCAAUUAUUAAAAAAUAAAUAAAUAAGUAUCAUAAUAUUUUUACAAAAAUCUAUCAAUUAUUAAAAUAAUUUAUCAUCAUGAGGUAUAAAAACAAAACAUAUAAACUUACAAAAAAAAAUAGUAUAUGUAAAAUAGAAAUACAAAAGUAACAAAAAUAUAGAAUAAUUCAUGUAAGAACAUUCUUUUGANNNNNNNNNNNNNNNNNNNNAUAUAUGUGAAUUACAUAAACAAGGCUAUUUUAGGAAUUUGAAAUGAGGUCUAAUGAGCAAAUGUUUAUAUUUAAAAGUAAAAUGAAGGUGUAGAGAGAAUGAGAGGUAUACUGUCCCAAUAGCCGCACUCAUUUCACAAACCAACUAGUUUGUUAACAUCAUGUUAUUCACAAAUCAAAGGUCAUCAAGCCUUACCCAUCCACUUUCAACUAUAUCAACUUUUGAUUUUCACCCUUUUCCUCAAUAACUCGUCCCACAACUGUUUCUACUUCAUAUACAAGAUUAUAUGUAAGAAAGCAGACUGUCUUAACUCUUACAAAUGUAUCACUCACUACUCUGCCCACCUUUGCUGUUACCGUCAGUUGCAAAUCAUCUCAGAAUUAUCAUUAUGGUUUACUAACUAUAAAAUGAAAAAUUAAAGCCACUAAACAUAGAGAGGGCAAGUUUAUUAAAGACAAAAGAUGGUCUUUUGCUUAUCGGGUUAUGACAAAGACAAGAGCAGUCACCAAUAUCAGAUCAGUAAAAUUACUUUUCAGACAUAUUAUGAAGUACUUGAUAAAAAAUAAAAUAAAAAUAAGAGGCAUCCACUAGAAAAGAAAUGAGUAAAUACCUGCAAGUCAUGUGGUAGCAACCUUCAAUAAGUUCAAUCAUAUGGCUGCACUUCACACACUGGCGCCAAAGCUUACUUGAAGCAAGGGAAUUUAGCUUUGUGUCCUCUUCUGGAGGAUUAGGAUUCGACCUUUUGUAGUCAGCACAUGUGAUGCUUUUGUGCCAAGGGACUUUACAGUUGAUGCAAAAACGGUAUUGACAUUUCAUGCAUCUCCUUAGUCCUGAUCGUUCCACAGCCCCCGUCAAGGUUUCCUUAGCAUAUUGUAAAACCUCACUUUUCGACAUUAAGAGAGAGCACCUUGGAUAUGGGCAAUAAACUCUAUCAGUUGCUGGAAUUGAAGCUUCCUUUAUUGCCUGGCGCAUAGUGUCAACAUGUUUAGGUGUCAAGAAUUUCACACAACUGUCAACACUAAGGUCAGACUUACAAGCUUCAUGAGGACAUUUAGGAAGGAUCCCAUCAAACAAUUUCACUUCCACAUGCUGUUUCAUACAAGAAAAGCAAUACCGAUGAAGGCAGCCAUCAACCGAAAAAAUCUGACUAACAUCACUAUCUUCCAUGCAGAUCACACAAGUCUCUUUCACAUUCUUACUAUUGCUGGAUUCCGCAGGCUUCAUCUGAGAGUGAGACUCUAUGGCCUCUCUUGCAAGUUUAGAUGCAAACUUAAUUUCCAACCGAGGCACAAGCCUGGAGUUGCAUUGCGUAAACUUACUUCGAAGACUCUUAACCUGAUUAACAAGAUCUAAUACCUUUUGCUGCUUUGCUGACCAUUUCCCAUUAAUCUGCAAAUGUUCAAAUACAACUUAAAACUAAAUUCUUCAUCACGGCAUGUUCUACAAUUUUAAUAUUAUACCCAAUUUAAAAAUCUUCUUAUAGUUGUUAAAUUACGCCAUAAAAACACAAAACUAAAUAAAUUUGAUUAGAAAACCUAUAAAAUAGCCAAGAGAGAUCACUUACAAACUGAAAAAUUGGAUUGUUAUCACAGAAGAAUGUAAUUCGCUUCAUUCCCAAACACAGAGCAACAGUAAGUCCUUCGAUCAAGGCUUUCAAUUGGGCCGAAUUUCUACUAAGCCCAUUCCCAAUCAACGGUUUCUUAACCUCGAAAACCAGAUUACCCCUGGAAUCACAUAUCGCUACUCCGAUUCCGGCCAGCACCAAUUUCUGAUCCCCAACCUGUUCCUCGCUCACCAAUCCCUUGAAAUACAGCCUGAAAUCGCUCUCCUCACUCUCCGCCGCCGCCGCCGACGAAGAGCCUACAUCAAACGGCUUGGCGAAGUCGGCGCCGGACUGUUCCCACUCGUCGUCGGGAAUUUCGACGAUCUCCCUCGCGACCUUGGCGUCGUGAAUCGCGCGGGCGAGGUCCUCUCUCGCCCGCCGCAAUUCAAUCUCGCUCUGCACGCUGUCCUUGAGCGCCUGCUCCAUUCCUACGAGGACGGAAGCGGCGGCGGAGGAGGAGGGUUGAGGGGCGAGGGAGGCGGCUAGGGCUUCUUGGAGUUGGAGGUUGAAGGCGAAUUCGGUGUCGGAUUCGAGGGUGUCAAUUUCCAUGAAAUCGUGGUCGUGGCGGUGAUCGGAGACGGUGAGGAAAUCGUAGUCGACGGAGGAGAAGGGGACUCUACUGGUACUGGUCAUGAGUCCUUCAGAGAGGGACUUUCUAGGAUUUUGGGGUGACUUUUGUGCUUAUAUAGGGUUUGGAGGAGUUUAGGGAACGUCCAGGCCCAAUGUACAUACAAGUAACCAAUACAUUCAAGAUCACCCUACACUGUUUUGUUUAGCUUACGAAUAGCCUCCACAAUACUUAUGUAUUCUAAUAAGCAUCAAUUGGCAAAGAGUGCACAAAUUAAAUAGCUACUUCAUAUGCUUUGUCACUGUGAUGACAUAAUGCGACAUUCAUUAGAUAUAUAACAUGAUUACAUAAAAGACGAUGAACGAGAGAGAGAGAGAUAUGAUAUCUGACCGUCUGAGUGUUCUAUUUUCAGUACUAAUUGACCCAAUUGUCAUUUGAAAAUUAUUAAAAAAAAUAUAAAGUAAUGAUUUUGGUUUAAUUUUGGUAUCAUUAUUUCUUAUCCAUUGGAUUUUUAUGAGCCUAAUCUAAUAGUAGUUGAGCAAGUGUUCCGUGGUUAGCUAGUGACCGUGUGAAUGAGACUGUAUUACAAGAUAUUAUUACCAACAUAAACUGUAAAUAGUUAACCUAUACUAACAAUAACAAAAAUUUGAGAGAAAAAUUUAACUUGGACCCCAGACCCAAGCCCACCGGUCCAAGCCUAAGAAGCAUAAUACAGCAGCCACGCCGCUGCCACCUUGGCCGCACCAGACAUGGCUCACUACCAUCGACAGCGACACCAUCGGCACCUGCUGAAUCCCUCUAGACGUGUCGCCUAGCAUUUCAUUUGGUUAUGUAUUUUUAACUUCUAUAGUACAUAUGUGUAAAUCGGUAGUAUUUUUAACUUCUAUGGUACAUAUGUGAGAAUCAGGACAAUGGCUCAUAAUCAAAGCUUAACUUCUAAGGCCUAGUUUGGUACAGCUUCGCUUUUAAAAAAAUCAGCUUCUAUCCGAACUUGUAGAUUUUAUAGUGUCUGGUAAAUGAAAGAAAAUCAGUUUUUUUUGAAAAUUAUAAGUCACUGGCAGCAGUUUUUAGUAGCAACCUGAAUGUUACUUUUAAAAGCAGUUGUCACUAAAAAUACUAGAAAUUAAUAAAUUUUAUCUUGGCAACACUUUUAAAACUAAUAUUUACCAAACAUAAAACUGUUUUAAUUCACAGCUGAUUAUUUUUGCAGCAGUUUUUUUUUUUUUUUAAAGUCACAAUAAUACCAAACUAGCCCUAAAUAAACAAAGAGAAAUUCGUCUGAAUGAUAUACAAACUUUUGUUCCUUAUAAACUUUGGUAUACCAAGUUUUAAAAAUAUUAGAUUGGUAUUUCAUGUUUUCAUCCCGACCUAAGAUUAGUAUAUAUAGCUAUUAAGAUGACUAAUUUACCCUCAAACCAAAAAAAGAUGACCAAUAUACCCUUAAAUUCUUUUCUUUGUUUUCAUAUUCCAAUUUUCUUUUUUUGGUUUUUUAUAUUUUUAGGAACGUAGAAAAAAAAUUCAUCGUCACUUUCUCCUUGUUAAUAAUAAGUUUUUCAUCUCAAUUAUCCUUCAUUGUCAACGGCAACAACAAGAUUUUUGAGUGUCAGCAUAAACAACAAAGAUUGAACUUCUGUAUGUUUCUCUUCAAUCUUCUUCAAGUUUAUAAAGAUCAACCCGAAUUAUCAAAUUCUAAAACCCCUUUUAAUAUUUCUGGAAUAUGAAAACAAAUAUAAAAAAAACUAAGAAAAAAAGAGAAAUUAAAGGUAAAUUGGUCAACUUAAAUGGCUAUAUAUACCAAUCUUAGGUUGUGAUGGAAACAUGAGAUAUCAUUCUGAUAUUUUUAAAAUUUGAUAUACCAAAGUUUAUAAUGAGCAAAAGUUUACAUACCAUUCGAACGAAUUUCUCAUAAACAAAUUCAGGUUAAUUGAAACUAAACCGACCGAACCAAUACUUCGAGUAACCAAAGUAGUCGGCCUAGCAAAUUUUGGUUUCCAGUUCAGUUUUCAGUUGAGGGCAAAUUUUGCAAGCCAAAUACAGAGGAACAGAAAUUUCAUUUCAUUUCCAACGAAAACUUAAACUUGAUACAACCAUAGGUACACAACCACAUUAUUAACAAAAUCUACCAAAACUAUCCACACACCAUGAUCACCGUCAACCACAUUAUCAGUUCCGACCUUUUGAUUUUCUUCCCCAGAUUUAUUAAAACAUCACCCUGAAUCAAACUAUAUAUGAUAUGAUCAAGCAUCAGCAAUCUCGGCAGCAGAAUCUGCAGCAGCUAAGAUCAGUUCUGGCUGGAUACCUCCAACAUAUGAUCCAUCAAGAGCGUUGGGUAGUCCCAGUGCCUUCAACGCUAAAUGGGCUGCCUUUUGCCCUGAUAUCAUCAUAGCCCCGAAUGUAGGUCCCUGCAGCAACAACAAUGUCCAAAAUGCAAAAUCAAUUAGUCCUAUUCACUUCCACCACCAUUAUUAGGACCACCAUUAUAAAUUUAUAAUCUAGUGAUGGAACAUUUUCGCGGGUUUGUCUACUGUACCGAACGGUAUAACAUAUCUAUCACUAAAAGAUUAGGGGUUUGAGCAGUGAGGGGUCCAGCAGGGGGUGAUUUGUUUCAAAAUUGGUUAUGAAAUUCAACAUGCAUAGCAUACUCUCAGGUAUAGCAGAAUUUUCCCACUUUCGCAAGCUAAAAUCAAAGCAAGAACAAAUUUUAUUUGGACCAGUGUUCCCUUUAGGCUAUUUAGCUCAUCUUUGAAAAUAGCCUAAGUGAUUGCAGACCUCCUGUGUCGCUAUCAAGUGCGGGGAACAGAAGAGGGUGGUAAAUGAUAUUUGAUUAGGACAGGUUAGCAAAUGAAAUGGUUUUUGGGUCCCAUCCCACCUUGUAUUAUUAAGGUGCAGUACUAAUUAAAUUGGCUCUAGUCCAUGUUGCAAGAGUUUAACAACAUAAAGUUUCCAUGUUAACUAUAACAGAGCAUUAUUGGCAACCCCUCAAAACAUCCACUAGCCAUUUCUACACUUGUACUUUAUGAUAAACUACCCUCUAGAUUUCAUUAUCAAUCAAACAUAAAACUAUUUGAAGAUCAUAUAAAUUCUCGGAGUGAUCAAAUAUACUAAUUAAGUGAUAGACAACUUUUGUAACAUAUAUGCUAAACACCUAAGAAUGAAGUAAAUUAUCAAAUCGCCAACAGUACUAUGCGAGUUUGACUUGCUUCAAUGACCCAAAACCAAAUGUACUAUGCAACUAUCUGCUUCAUUUCACUAUCUACUUCAUUUCAAAUUUAAUUUUAACUUGUGUUUUUCUCAGAAAAGGACCAUUCUAUAAUAAGUUUUGUCCGAAGCAUCAAAAUGAUUCUAAAUCUGAUCCCUUAGUUAAUCACAACCGGGUCAAAACUAUUUAAAGCAAGUUGAUGCUUGGGAAGAAAUAUAUGAGAACACAUAAUGAAGCAUAAAAAAGUAGAUUUAUUUAUAUAGAAAUUUACCAUUCUUGGCGAGCCAUCAAUCUCAGCAACUUCCAUGCCAGUAACAAUCAUUCCAGGUACAAUUUCCCUUGUUAGCUUCACAAUGGCAUCCUCAGCUGCAUUCAUGUCCAAUGCCUUCAUCCCAGGCACGCUCUCAAUCAUCCCAACGCUCCUCAACCUCUUUACUCCGGUGGCUCCCAUCGGUCCAUCGUGACCGCAUGAGCUAACCACAACCUUGGCCUCCAUAACGUUGGGGUCCAUGCACGAUUGUGUGUCGUGGUUCAUGGAGACCAAGGCCCAGUUGGUGACAACACCAGCAACUCUUCCACCCUUGAUGAUCAAAUCCUCAGCUGCUACAGCGUUGAAGAGCUUCACAUUAGGACGGGCAAGGAGCUUGCUCAUGAUAGUUGAGGUGAAUAGGGCAGCAUGCUUGAUGACUACGUAGCCAUCCUUCUCGUCGUAGUCAAUUCCUAACUCGUUGAGGAAGUGAUGUGCUGGUUUCCUCACUACCUGUUUCAAAUAUAUGAAUUGAAUCUUUAAUAUUGGCAAGUACUGAAUAAAUUAAGAUCUUUAUUUAUUCAUAACAAAAAGAAAAGAAACAAAUCUAAUAUACCAACUAGUCAUUUCAAUAUCAAACCCAUUUUCCAGUGAUGGAACCGAAUAAUCGGAUCACAAAAGGAUCUAAUGGACUUUCCUAGUUCCAAAAAUAAUAUUUGAGAAGUGAAAUUUACGUAUACACGAUUAUAAUCCACACAUUCAUUCUGACCCACUUUUACUGUGAAAUUUUCAAAAUUGUCCAUGUUUUCUUUUUCUCUUCAAAUUGUAGUAGACAUGAACUUUUCUGACAAUUGCAGUAGGUCAGGACAUGUGGACCGUAACUGAGAAUGUGCAAAUUUCACUUACAAUAUUUCCUACACAAAUAUUAAUUUCUGAGCAAAAAUAAAAGUUAUCAUCAAAUAAGAUGGUGCAUGUAAGACACGUGGCACAACUUCAAGUUCACGUAAUAAGGUGGAGUUAUUCAUUACCAUGGCGGAGAAGAGCUGGCCACCGAGCCACGCGCCGCCGCCGGGGCUGACGGACUGCUCAAUAAUAGCGACCUGCACAUUGGGGUUCUUGCUGAGCUCGUAGGCGCACGACAGGCCGGCCGAACCGGCACCGACGACGACGACGUCGGUAUCGGCGUAGGUGAUCAUGUCAGUCAUGUAUCGCCUGGUCAUCUCCCGGGAGACGAUGGACUCCUUGAUCGGCUCGAACUUGAAGUUGGUCAAGUCGUAAGCGCUGGUGGAGCCACCGGCGGACAUGGAGACGGAGAGGCCGUGGCCGUUGGAUGUGGCCGCCUUGAGUGGCUGAACGCGAGCCACGGGGACGCCGUGGAAGGAGGAUUCGAGGAGAGAUGGCUUCUGGAGCUUGGUGGAGAGAGAGGAGGCAGCGAGUAUGGAAGCCAUAGAUGCCAUUUUGAUGGUAACGAAGAGAGAAAUGAAAGAGAUCGAUAUGGGAGUUUGGUUUGGUUUUGUUGAAGAUGGGACUCAAGAGUGGUGAUAGUGUAACCGGCGCGAGUGUAUUUAUGGACACUGAGAUUGAGUGUGAGAUAUCUGGAGUGAUGUGAAGGCCCCUGAGGUUUUCAGUUUUCCAUAGAGCCCCCUGUGGUUGCCAUAAUUUCUCAAGGUUUACCAUAUAUAGAGGUUUACCAUAUCUUAAUUUUUCUCUCCACUAAGACAAAGUAUAAAGAAUAUUAUCAAAAAGAUUCAUUAUAGAACUUAUUUUUUGCGCUGAAAUAGAAGUCUAGAAGGCAUCCAAGUGAUCCAACCAUUCUAGUUUGUUAUUGAGUUUUACAUGGAAUUUUUAUUUUUAAGACAGUACAAAUAAUACGUGACGUUUAUAAGUAAACCAAAAAAAAAAAAAACAUUAUUUAAGAAUUUGUUAUGUCAUAAUUAUGUUUUUGACAAUGAUGUUUUGAAAUAAUAAAGACCGUAGCUACCACUUUUCUUUUGUGUCACAUUCUAAUCUUUUGAAGGUUGUAGAAACACCAAUUCACUAUUAUUAUCAAAUAUUUGAGUAAUUACACUAAUUGAUCACUAAUUACAUAAUUUACUCUUGUCAGUUAUGAUUGGACGAAGGCACACACAUAAAUGUGUUUUUCCUUCAACAGGUUAGUUUUUUUUUGUGUUACAAUUUAUUAUGGGUGCUUCUAGAUGUAUCCAGCAAAUUUUUAAGUAAACCCAGCAACAGACUUUUUACCACGUUUUUCCAUUAUUACCCUUAAAUAUCUAUAAUUUUUCUCUUAUUUUAAAUGAAAAUAAAAAGAAAUAACUGCAAUGUUCUUGAAGUCGAGAACGCCGAUGUUGUUCUGCCUAUUCUGUUGUCAGUCUUCUUCUCUUUCUCCAUAUUUUCUCCAGUUUUGUUUCUUUCUGUAAUCUUUGAGGUGAUGGAGAUCAUCAAGACAAUCAAUUUUCAGAGCCAGCAACUCAACUUGAAUUGUUGCAGAUAUAUUUGUUUUUUCUUUACAAAGCAGAAGCAAAACAGGAAUUAUAGCAAUGAAAUCGAGCCAGGACCAGUAUUCUAUGAUGAACCAAAUAUUGUAUGAACCCUAGAGAAAGAACACGCUAGAGCAGUAAGGUGUGAGAAAGCUAUGAUUUCAUAUAUUAACAUAAUGACGAAUAUUUCUCACGCUAAUCAAUCAUAUAACUUAUAUAUAUGGCCAACUUAUUUAUUGAUAAGGGAAUAGUUAAAUUCAGAAGCUUCCAUGCAAUAUUUGUCAGAGAAUCCUUUCCUCCUCCACCAAGUGAUCGAAUGUGACGCAACGAGAAAAUCUGGGGAGGACGGAAAGAUAAGGGUUUUUGUUUUCCUAUUUUGUUUCUCUUAAUUCAUUUAAAAUAAGAGAUAGAAUCAGAAUGUUAGGAACUAAAAAAAUGUUGUUAGGUCUAUUUAGUCAUUUGCUGGGUACAUUUAGCAACACCCGUUAUUAUUGAAUUGAUAUGAAUUAAACUCUCAAACAUACAGAGAACUAUAGAAGCCACACUAGUUUUAAACUAAGAUGAAGAAAAUUUGCUGGAGUUGGUUUUAUAAGUUUUUGGCUGAAACAGCUAACGAAUUGCUAUGCUAAAAGUUGGAGAUCAACGUCAAUGGAAUAGAUAUCAGAAACCCCAAAGGGUCUAAAUACUAUAAGUUGGAACCUGCAGGAACUUGAGUUACUAUGUAAACCUGUUAAACGGAAAAGGUGGCGAUGGGAAGAGAGGAUAGGAUACGAAGGGCCUAGAAUUUGGCUCUGCUACAAGUGGCACACAUGAAGCAGUCCACCACUACUCACUGCUGUUGUAAUCUUAUCAAACUGUGGGUGCCAUCUUUGAUGCCCUUUCCAGAGCUUGUGUACAACAACACAGAAUCAGAAAGUUCACUUUUACGAAAUAAUAUCUACAUGUAUAUCUUCGGGAACAAGAAACAAAAAAUAAUAUCUUUGCCAUUGUCCUGCUCUGCGUGGAUGAUUUUUCUGUUUGGCCGAGAGGAUUGUGCGACGUCUUCGUAUUUUUACUACCAUGUGAUUCUUAAGAAAAGUGUUCUGUGCUAUUCCUCAAAAAAAAGAAAAAGAAAAAAGUGUUCUAUGACAUUUCAGAAGAUUAUAUGAACUCGUAUCUAGCUAAUUUCUAAGCAUUAUGAAUGCGGGAAUUUGAACAAGUAUAUGACUCCUGAUCACUCCAAAGACCUACAUGUCGAUGUAAUAUAUUGCAUUCUGCCUUGUAGGGCUGGCAUUGGUAGGUAUACCAACUCUAUUUUUCAAUACCAUGUACCAACCAACUUAAGAUUGGUAGGCAAAAUCUUGUACCAAAACCAACCGUCAAAGUUGGUAUACCAACUUAGUUGGUACGGUUGGUACGGUUGGUAUUGGGCCUCUACCAAGUUUAGAUUGAGGCCCAACAAACUGAAAGGCCCAGCUCAUUUAAAUCCUUUUUUUAGGCCUAUACCAAACUUCUAUCAAUUAUCAAACUAUUUAAAGUUCAAACACAUUCAAAGUUUCACACAUCAUAUAAUUUCAAAUGCAUAAACAAAUUAUAGAUAGCUCAACAUCAUUGAUUAUACUCAUUAUAGAAGAAGAAAAACCAAACCAACAACUUAAUGCAAGAGAGACUAUUUAAUGCAGUCUUCCACCACCAUUUUCAGCAAUCAGAGAAGAACAUUAGUCUAUCUCUUUAUCUAUCUCCUCAUUCAAACCCUACCGUCUUCUUCUUCUCUCUCAUUCUCUUUAACUUGAACAUAAAUCAACAUUGCUACCCAAUUCACUCCUACUCUCUAACUAUCAAAAGGUCCAUUCUUUCUUCCAAGCUAUCGGCAUUUCAUAAUCUACCUUCUAUUCAUCCAACUGAUGAAAUCAUAACUCUAAAGCCAAUACAGAAUAAUUGAAACAAGCACAUAAGCGAAACACAACAAAUCAUAUCUCAAAUCCAAAUCACCAUCAAAAUGUUCACUAAAUGAUGAAAGGCAGUAUACCUGUAUUGCCAACACAGUCAUCAUGAAUCUUGCAGCAUUCACUUUCACUUUAAUGGCAUAAACAUAAGCUUGAGUCUCAUAGACUAAUACAGUCCCACCACAACUAUGUAAUCAAGCACUACUAAUACAGGGCAGUGAGUCGGUAAGUAUUGAAAGAACACAUUGUAUUUGUUUUGUUUUAGCUAAGUAAAAGGUUCAUCAACUAACAGACUGUGCUGCAUUGACGGUUAACAAAUUCAACAACAGGCAAAUGNNNNNNNNNNNNNNNNNNNNGUUCUUUUAACACCAAGAGUAGUGUUAUUACUUAAAACAUUUGAAUUUUCUGCAGAAUUCUCAAUAGCAAAGACUGAUUGAGAAGGUAAAGAACACUGAAGUUGCAAAUAACCAUUCAAACGAAGAGCAGAACCAAUAAGUAAUGAAUUCUUAAAAAUCUUUAUUCCAUUAAUGUCAUAAAGAAAACUAUAACCAAGUUCUAUCAAAAGAUCCCAAGAGACUAAAUUUCUCUUCAUUGCGGGUACAUAGUAAACAUUCUCCAAAAUUAAAAAAUUUCCUAGACUUAAUUCUAGCUUCAAGCUUCCUAUUGCCUUAACGGAAACCUUCAUGCCAUUUCCUACACGAACGCGUGCUUCCUCAGUUUUUGGUUUCCUCCUCUUUGUGAAGCCCUUUCUUCACCAUCCAGGCCUUAAAGCUGGCACAGUCUUUCUUAAUAUGCCCUGCCUUUUUACAGAAAUAGCACUUAUACUUAAAUGUGCCAUUGCCGGAUGUACCUGCCCCCUUAGAUGUACUAGGUUUGAAGUUGGUUUUCUUAGCUCCUAACUUCUUCUUCCACUUGUUUUUGCCAUUUUUGCCAUUUUUGCCAACCAGGUUCACUGUUGCCUCAAAGGUUGAAGCCUUAAUCACACCAUAACUUGAGUCAUCUGCCUUAAUUCUACUCUCCUCCUCAGUUGCUAUAGCAAUGAGAUCAUUGAAGCUCCAUUUGUCCUUCUGAGCAUUGUAGCUCGACUUCAAUUGACUGAAUUGUUGAGGGAGAGAGUGCAGUGCAGUGUGCACCACAAAUUCUUCAGGGAGAUGGAUGUUAAGAUCCUUAAGCUUAUUGACUAUAUUCUCCAUCUUAAGGUAGUGGUUCCUGACACCUCCAACACCAUUAUACUUAAGGGUGUUGAACCUCAGGGAUAGUGUUGUAGUCUCAGCCUUUUCAGUAUGCUUGAACUUCUCAUUGAUAAGUUCAAGCAUGUCAUAGGCAUAAUCAAUCUCAGGGAUGGUACCGGAUAUGGUGUCUGACAUGGUGGCCCUAAUGAUGUUUCUGCAGGUGUUGUUCUUCCUAUCCCAUGAGUGCUCGUAUUCCCAGGCUGCUAAAAACUGAUCCUUAUCCUCAACUUCUAUAUGUUCUGGUACUCCUUCUAACAGACAAGAAUCUAGCCCUUGGUUCAUGGAAAAAUACAUAUCAAUUUGUCUCCUCCAGGUUUUGUAGUUUCCACCAGUUAAAAGCUCAAUCUGGUUAAGAGUGACAACUUGGACACCUAAUGAGCAAACAAAAGAGAUUUUCUAUUAGUUCUUGUUUUACUGUAUUUGUUAAGUGUGAGGGUAAUCUAGAUGUUUUCUGUGUUUUAGGUAGAAUAUAUCAAGUAAAAUAAAUCCAAAACCACAUAAACAUAACACAAAAUCACACUUUAACAUGCUAAAAACAUACAUAUCAAUACAUACAUAUGCACACAAUUAUCCCAUACUGAAAUACAUGUUUUACAACACCUAUAUGGCAGAAGAUAAAACACAUUGAAAAUCUGAAUCCACACACCACAGUAAUUAAUCCCAAGUUUUAUAAAAGAAGCAGUCAUCACCUAAUGGCAGAAGAAAAGCUUCUAAAAUAACCAAAUAUGAGAUUAGAGACCAUGUAUGCAGCUAUUCUAAGUUUUAAGCAAUGCAGCGAAUACCUCUAUGGAGGCCAAUAUGUGCAUGUUUUAAAUUUUAGUAACACAAGUUUUCAGUCCUUUUAACUUUAUGAUUAUCUGAAAACAUGAAAAAACUUUGCUAUGUGCAACAUGCUAAUCCAUAUCACCAGAUAAACAAAGACCAAGGAAUUUCCUAUAUGUUUUCAUCUUAAUCCAAGUUAACCGAAACUUGAACAAAAAUCAUUCCUUUGCUGCAAAUUUUAUGGUCAUGAUUAAAACAUAUUGUUUUGGGAGACUUUAACAAUCACAACAGAGAAAAAUUUACAGAUUUAAUGCAGAUAGCUUUAGGCUUCUAAAAGUCAUUGAAAAAAAUACAAUUUUCACCCAAUUGACAUACCUUGGCAUCUGCUACAGCGCUGCAAUGUUAGCGGAAGCAAACAAUAACACAGAAUUGCAGCACCAAUCAACCAAAACAACAAUCAAAACACCAAUCAAGAACACAGAGAAUCUAGAAAACACAAAUUCCAUCCGGACAACUCCAGCUAUCCUAACGUAUGUGCACUCCGGGCGUGCUCUAGGGUUCUCUAAUUUGUUCUUAAUCUUACCUGAAUCGUGAGUGAUGGGUCUUGAAUCCCAACGAGUUCAUGAACGAACUCGCGCGCUUCUUCCCUCGCCAAAACCAGAUACCCAGAAAACUUUUUGUCGUUCUAAAACAACGACCAGAACUAAAUCCCUUUGUUUUGGGGUUUUCUGUGAAUCGGGCCUUGGGCUUGGGUCACGCAGCUCACAGGCCCAGCUUUAGUUUCUGAAUGGGUCAACGAAUUUUGUUGGCCCGGUUUACUGAAUUUUUUUGUUGUUGUUGUUGUUUCUGAAGCAUAGCAUAUGAACAUGUAAUUGCUAUUGUGUUGAUUUUACUGAAUCGAUUUAUAUGUGAGGCUACGAGCGCCAAGCUCUGAUACCAUUUAAUAGAAAACUGAAGCUAAUUAUACCAUAGUUAGCGCAAGCAUAUAAACACAAACAACACACAUAGAACUUAAGACUUACCAGCGUUGUUAAUGGAGAUCGCNNNNNNNNNNNNNNNNNNNNACAGAAUAAUUGAAACAAGCACAUAAGCGAAACACAACAAAUCAUAUCUCAAAUCCAAAUCACCAUCAAAAUGUUCACUAAAUGAUGAAAGGCAGUAUACCUGUAUUGCCAACACAGUCAUCAUGAAUCUUGCAGCAUUCACUUUCACUUUAAUGCCAUAAACAUAAGCUUGAGUCUCAUAGACUAAUACAGUCCCACCACAACUAUGUAAUCAAGCACUACUAAUACAGGGCAGUGAGUCGGUAAGUAUUGAAAGAACACAUUGUAUUUGUUUUGGGUUUUUAGCAAGUAAAAAGGUUCAUCAACUAACAGACUGUGCUGCAUUGACGGUUAACAAAUUCAACAACAGGCAAAUGUUGUAUCAUCAAUCAACACAUAAUGUGAGAACACAGAGCAUAGAACACAAUCAACACAUAGAUUGAUAGAUAACAAUCAUAACACAUGGAUUGAUAGAUACACAUAGAUAAUAGAUUGAUAGAUACAUACGGAGAUUCGAGGCUUGGUGCUACGAAGUCAACGGCGAGUUGAGGCGCUGCCCUUCGUCGGAAAGUCGAGGCACUGCCCAGCGUUGCCCUUCGUCAGAGAGUCGAGGCGCUGCCCAGCGCUGCCCUUCGUCGGAGAGUCGAGGCGCUGCCCAGCGCUGCCCUUCGUCGGAGAGUCGAGGAGCUGCCCAACGCUGCCCUUCGUCGGAGAGUCGAGGCGCUGCCCUUGGCGCUGCCGAGUCAAGGUGGCCGAGGUGCUACUGAGUUGACGACGAGAGAGGCGAGGUGGCUAGAAGCUGAGUCGAGGUGGCGGAGCCGAGGAGGUGUUGCGAAGUCGAGGUGGCGGAGGCGCGGAGCCGCGGGGGUGCUGCGAAGUCGAGAGAUGAGGCGAGAGAGGCCGAGAGUGACUGUGAGUCUAUUGACUCUAUUCUGAACUAACUCAACUAACUAACUAAGGAUUAGGGUUAGAUCCACAGAUCAACGGCUUAGAUUAAUAGUUUUAAUUUUUUUUUUUUAAUAUAACUCGGUUGGUACAUUGUAUACUGUAUUUUGGGAAAAUCUGUACCACGUACCAACCGACUUCUAAAACUUGGUACGGUACUACUGUACCGAAAACUCGGUUACCAACUAUUUGACAUACCAAUUUGUUUGGUACGGUUGGUACAUAGUUGGUUGGUAUUGCCAGGGUCCAAAUUGCCACCCCUACUGCCUUGUCCUGUGCCUCCUAUACUUAGUUUUACGAGCACAAACUUGGCUGGAAAAUGAUCACAACUGAUCUUCCCCUGAACAUGGAAAUUCAAGAUUUCGUUGUUUGUUACCGAACAUGGGACAUAGAGAGUUGUCAUUUCAUAGAACAUAGGACUGAUUAGUGUUUCACAACUUUGAAGAUAUCUUGAGAAGCUGAACUAUGAUAUGAUCAAUAUGCUAAUAACCUUAAUCUAAUAUCUAAAAGUUAAUGAUGAUAGUUUUGUGAUUAACUCACAUACUUCGGCAGUUCAGCAGGAGGGAAUUAACUAUGCUAGACUAGUUGGUUAUGAGCAAAUAUUUCGAUCUUUUGUUCUGGGAUCACUCAAGGUUACCAGAAACAAUUAGCAUUUGUGUUUCACAGGCAUUCAGAAUUUACACUGGCUAAACAGAUCAGGUAGCUCCACCACAUCACGACUAUAGUGCAAUGUCUUUCCUCUGAUGGCUUUACCUAAUUUUUCCAGCUCUCCAAAAGCUCAGGAAGAUGGGUAUUGGUUAGUUUGGUCCUCUUGCUGAUCUCAGGCUUCUUCUUCUUGUUCUUCUUGUCCUUGCAAUAAGAAGACCCGACUAGACUCUGAACCAUAGCACUUCUCCUUGCAGAGUCUGUGGCAGGCCCCAUCCCAUUCUUCUGAAGAUACUUCUCAAUAUCAACCAUAUUGCUAGGCAACUCUAUUUUCCUGAAGCAUGUUUUAAGGUCAUCAUCAACCUCGAUGCGGGGCAACUUAGGGUCAUUCGGAUAUGCUAUAUCCUCUUGUGCACUGAAGCUUGAAAGAAGCCAUAUGUCACCAGCAGCUUUUAGAGCCUAGAUAGUAUUACUUAAUUAAAAACUUCAUGGCAAAAGAAGUACUCCAGAAAUAAUCCAAGUUUAACAUAGUAUUACUUAGAAGAAUAUGGAGAUGUAUUCAUGUAUAGUCUUUUCCAAAGCAUAAAUAAUAGAAGAAGCAUUAUUGAUGAAAAUACCUGCAGGUCUUCCAUUACACUGGGGUAUGCAUCCUUGAGAUCAAUCACAGGUAUGCCCUCUGGAAAUUUCUGUACUAUGGCCAGUAGUUGGCUUCUGUCCUUCACAGCAUGCUUGGACUACAGAUAAAAAGUACGAGCAAAAUUCUGUCAUCUUCAUGUAGAAUAAAAAGGUUACAGUACUUCAAAUACCGUAACAAUAAACUUACCUUAUACGAGAAGCAUUUUCCAUCAUAGUGAACUUUUGGGUUAUCUGUCAGACACUUAAAGACAGUUUGAUUGUGGUUCACAUCAACAAAACAGUUUUCGUAUAUUCCCUCAGGCGUGAAAGCCUGCCUUGUCUGCAACAUAGUGUAAACAAAGAUGGUGAUGAGUCCUUCUCAUGAUCCAAGAAAAAUUAGCGUAUCUGAGAUGAACUAAGAACAGGUAAAGGAAAAGGAUCAUAAGAAAGAAUGUAGUAUAAUUGGUGAAAAGGAAAAUAAUAUGCUAUAUAUCAGCUAGCUAUCAUUCUGAGAUCAGACUGUACCAAUUAUAACAGCUUUGGUGAAAUUCUAAUUACGACAACUAAAUAAAUGUAUGCUUUACAGAGUUAAUAUUUCACUUAAAAAGUCAAAUUGCUUUCAUUGAAACAAGUGGAAAACAAAAAGGCACUUCUGCCCUCCUCAACCAGAUCAAGAAACUGUGUUAUUGGCAUCUAAGAUCAGAAUUAGGCUAGCAGUUGGAUCACCUAGCUGGAUUCCGAUGCUUGGACUUUAUAGACUUCCUAGUCAAUUAGAUAGGGGAAGCAAAACCAAAAGAAUGGAUCAUUAUACUUUCUGGUUAUGUACACAACCAAUGAUUUCACUACCCUCAGUCUUGGUACAUACAUUGGAGUAAUUCAAACAUUCCAAAGGACUUUGUCGAGUUUUAUUCCUAGCCAAUGUGACAGGGAAAACAAAAACAAAACAAAAAAAAGGGUGUUUAAAGCCAUGAGUUCAUACUUCAUAGCCCACGGCCUUGAUUCAAACAAAUCCUAGCACAAAAGUAACAUGUAGAGAAUCUAGUUCCCACAGAUUCCCUGUCUUAGGCCCUAGAAAUCUACUAGGCAAAGGCCUGGACUGCUACACUGCGUAUAAAAAUAUACUUAUCUCUUGAGUCAAGCAAAGAAGGGGAAAAUUAUACCUUCCGCAGCAGGUCGAUAACACGCUUGACCUGUGCUCCAUCAGGAGAAUUCCGUAUGCUAUUAAUGUGUUGGAGCCUCUCUGUAUCAUCUGAAAAUUUGACAGUUGGAGGAUGAACCCUAGCAGCUGCUGCAGACACAGCUUUCAGAGUUGCUGUGGCCUUAUUGUUAGAGGCAAUGCUGAUACGGGUUGACUGGCACUGCUCUUGCUGUUUCAUGAAUCUAUCCGAUCCUUCUUCUAGUCCCAUUUGAAAAUUUCCACUAAAAAUAUUGAGCAUUAAUGUCAAAGACCUGACUUGAAACUUGAAAAAAAAGAACACUGCAGAGUUCAAUCCAAACAAGAACUUCCCAACUAAUAUAAAUCAUUAAAAUCGGGUUUUCAUCAGUCUAUCAGAUAAGCAUGCUUUCACAAACUCAAUCACAUUCCCAAAUUGACAAAUUACAAACGAGCCUCUGCACAUUUUAUGAUUUGCAUAAUCACUAUGAUUAUAAUCCCAGAGAACCAAGAAAUAAUAGAAAACUAAAGCUAAUUAUACCAUAGUUAGCGCAAGCAUAUAAACACAAACAACACACAUAGAACUUAAGACUUACCAGCGUUGUUAAUGGAGAUCGCCAUGUCUGAAAGCUUAGGUCUUCUGAUCUCUCUCACAAUGUGCUCCUUAGAUGGGAUAGGGACUGAAUGCGUCUUAUGAUGAGAUCAGGGACUUAUGCUUGUGUAUUUAUAGUGAUCAACUAGUGCCUUGCCCAUUAAAGAUUCCUAGUUGAUCUAUAAGAUUUACCAAAGAUUACGAGAAUCAUAUAAGAAGAUAUUAUGGAUUCCUUAUUCAAUAUGUAAACUAUAUAUUAUUUGCAUAUCACUAAUAUUACAUUCCUUAUACAACUCGUAAUACUUAGAUUAGGCUUAAUUAAUUGCUUGAACUGAAAGUCACAUAAUAUUGUUAAAGUCCAUAAUAAUCUUUCAAGAAAUAGUUUAUCAUCUUCAUGAUAAAUCCAAUAAAUAGUGUAAGAAGUUAAAAUGGUUCUGUAACCACAUGAAUUAAGCCCUACGUGAUCAAAAAUCAAACCCCCGUCGCAUUACCUAUCCUAAGUCAAGUCAUGGACGAAUCAAGUGAAUACUAAAACCCAAAAAACAAACCCAAAUUGCAAAAUGCCUGUUAAUUUCGAUCACAAUCAAUUGUUACUAAUCAAACCCAGUUAACAAAUUGAACCCAAAACCCUAAAAUUAAAGUUAGCAGCAGAGCACGAAGAGAGGCAAUGUUUCGAACCCUAACCUGGCGAGAAGCAAGUUGCGAUUGAAACGGCAGAAUGGAGAAUAAGGAUGUGGAAUUUGUGAAAGGAUUCGGAGAAGAUGAAUGUGAAUUGUAUUUUUGUGCCGUAGAAUGAAUGAAUGCCUUCCCUCUUUCAUAAGCUGUGAGCGUCAGGGCGGUUAAUGUGGGCUUUCAAAUCAGGGCCCUCUAAUAUUGAGUCAUCUAUCACGUAUAUUAUUAUACUAUUGUAUCGAGAAAUUCUUAUAUGUACGACGUGUAUUUACACGAUACAAUCUUAACUGUUUAUAACAAUUUAUAUAUUUGACUACCAUGUUUCUAUAUUAUUUUCUCUAAUCUUGACCAUCCAUGUAUGUAUGUGAAGAUACACGCCGUGUACUGAAGUCUGAAGAUGUUCUCCAAUUGUAUCACCUAUUGUUCAACUUGUGCCCUUUGUUCUAAUCGUAAAAACUUGUGCAUGUUUACUAAUAACACAAGGAAAUUUUCUUCAUCAUAACACACAGUAAUGUUCACUCGAUCAGUAAUUUAUAACAAUUUUUAAGUUGGAUGGGUUUUCAUUGUAACUUCAUUUACAACGAAUGAUUACAAAUUCAAGUAAUGGCGGAACGGAACAUAAUCCUAAACAGGCCGACGAGAUUACACUUGAUACAAGAGAAAAUGACUCACACCCCAACAGGCCCAACUUACCCAACGUUGUUAAAAGGAAGGAAUCCAAAGCAAACAAAGACUAAAAUGAACUGACCCAUAUAGCCCAGUCUAUGCUUAUGCUUGUUAAUAUUAUUCUUUCCAUAUCAUUCAUGUGCAUAUGCUACUAUGCUACAAAGUUAACUUGAAGAAUCACAUCAAAACACUCUUUGUGAACCUUAUCACUUUGUAUGCAAUACAUACAUAUCAUGAAAAAACAAACAACAUAAACUUUUCAGGGUGAUGCCAUAUUUAGUGGGUUGCAGAUCCGUAAUUCGAAACUCAUAAUGUUGAGGAGAGAAAGUUCAUUCCAAGUGGGAAAUUGGGGGAAACUUAAAUAGUUCAAGAUUAUAAUGAAUCUUAAUCUACAUGUAAACUUACAUUAUUAGGCAAACUCAUGUCCGAUUGAUGCAAGAGAACGUACCAGUUACCUUUUAGAGUUCUAAAAUACUAAAUGAAGUUCAUAAUGGAAAAAUAAUAGAGGGUGUCUCAAGCUAUUGUCAAAGUGACAUAAGGUGCAUUGACCACAAUUUAUUUAAAUUAUAGAAUUUACUAUAUUAUAUUUUGAUGGAUAAGGUUAACUGUCAUAUGAGAUUGCAUCCUAUUGGAUAUAACAUUUUCUUGUAACCUUGAGCUCGAGUAGACCCAAAUAGGGCUAAGAACUUGUGCGCUCUUCCUCGAGACUUCAAUAACUGCUUUCUCUCCUGGCCAUACCAGGAGUCUUUAUGCCACCAAGAGAGCAUCCUCUUUAACCAAGAACUAUUGUGUUGAUAGGGAACAUGCCAAUAUACCAACACAGUCAUGUGUGUGUAUUGAUGGGAUAUCAUAGGCAAGAGCCACACUCCUGUGUAUUCAUGGAUGUUGCUUACUAUUGUUGAGAUGAAUAUUUCAAUAACUUAGGGAAAUUCUAUCAUACCGGAGGCGGACGGCAUGCUAUGCAGCAUGUCAUUAUUUGUAUCAGUGUACGUAUGUCAUACCGUCUACUGUACAACUAGUUGUACAUGAAGUUUUGAGUUUAAAUCUCGCUUCCUCACAUCACCAACAUAAAAGAACAUGGAUAUAUGUAUACUUCAUACCAAUCGUACAUACUUAACUAUCAUAUACAAUCACGGAGAUACCUUUAAAUCAAAUACAUAACACUGAAUUUAUUAUUAAAGCAGGAAAUCCUAGUUGAGUUAAUAUUACAUAUUGAGUGUAUCUCCAUUGUUUGUUACCUAUUUUAGAUAGAAGAUCGAUUUGGUUUAGGUUAGCUAAACCCUAGCUGGCUAGCACUUGUAUAUAUAGAGAUAGUCUGUACAAACCUUCUUUAAGUGAAUAUAUAUAUUUUCACCUCCAGUUUGUUUAUGGUAACAGAGCGACAUCCUGUGACCAAACCCUAAAACACAAAACACACCCUUCCUAUCCCUUAUGGCCGGCGGAACCAAAUCGGAAGACAAGGACGUCAAGUCCGACUCUGUCUCCAAAAUAGCCGCACCAUGGGAGGCUUCCAGCCACUCUACCAACAUCAUUCAGAUCAGCCCAAAGCUGUCCUCGUAGUCUAACCUUUGAUGGAGGACAACUUCUCAAAGUGGAUGCAAUCCAUGAGUGACGCACUCAAAAUCAAGAACAAGAUUGGCUUUGUUCUUGGUACUCAGAUCAAACCGACUCUGAAUGAAGAAGAGAAUCUGCAGUGGGAGCGUUGCGAUACUCUUGUUAAGACAUGGCUUGUAGCAUCCAUGUCGAAGCAGAUCUCAAAGAGUGUCAAGAAUUGCAAGACUUCCAGAGAAGUGUGGCUCGAUCUCCAGGAGAGAUUCUUACAAACCAAUACGGUUCAACUCUUUAACAUCAAAAACGCACUUCAUGAUUGCACACAAGGUUCAGAUUCGGUCACCACUUUCUACACAAAACUGAAGAGAUUAUGGGAUGACCGUGAUGUGCUCUGCAAUGUUGCAUCUUGUGGCUGUGGUCUCGAUGAGUUUAUCAAGAAUCAGAAAACUAUGAAAUUUCUCAUGGGAUUGAACGAGAAUUUCUCUAUUCUCCGAGGCACUAUUGUAGCCAUUGAUCCGCGGCCUACCGUGAACAAAGCCUAUUCCAUGGCUUUGAGACACGAGAAGCAGUAGAGGCUGCAGGAGGAGGAAAAGCCGCCGCACCACAAGAAGGUGUUGUUUUCGCUGUCAAGAAAACGACACAGGAAGAUGAGCCGGAGAAGCAAGAGCACUGCUGCGGCAAAUGUGGCAAGAAGCAUUUAACUUCUAAGUGCUGGCAACACAUGCAGUGCACGUAUUGUGAUCGAACAGGCCAUACUGUGGAUUACUGUAACAAGAAGAAAGCUGAUCUUGAGAGGCAAUCGAAGGGGAGCAUCAAUUCUCUUUUCGGUGAGGACGAAAACUUUCUGUUCACAAAGGAACAAUGCAAGGCUAUAGCAGAGAUCUUGAGCCAAAACAAGGCUGCUCAAGUCAAUCAAAUUGGUAAUCACUCUUCGUAUGAAGAACUUUCAGGUAUGGCAAUACGGUUCGAUAAGAAUAACAAAUGCGGUACUUGGAUAUUAGACAGUGGUGCUUCCGAUCAUAUAACCUGUGAUUUCAAACUUUUCACAUCUUCUAAAUCAACCACUACCUGUUAUGUCAAGUUACCAAACGGUAACACUACUCGAGUUAGUCACAUAGGCAGUGUUUCUUUUACUCCUCAACUCACCAUUCAUAAAGUGUUUUUUGUCCCAUCAUUCUACCUAAAUAUCAUUUCGAUCAGCAAGCUUGCACUUGAUUACUUUUGCAUAACAAUCUUCCUAAAACGUAUGUGUUUCAUACAGGACCUACGAUCGGGGAUGAUGAUUGGGACAUGAACUGAGCGUGAAGGCUUAUACUGCCUCAACAAACCGAAGAAAGAGACAUCAUGUCAUUCUGUUACUAGUCAAUCACCAAGUCUUUGGCAUCAAUGCCUUGGACAUCCUUCGUCUAGGGCUUUAUCUUUAUUUCCUUUUCUUUCCAGUAAAACUUGUGAUUCAAGUAAAUGUUUGGUAUGCGCUUUAGCUAAACAGACCAGAAAUAAUUUCCUUUAAGUACAAUUUCUAGUGUGUCACCCUUUCAUUUGAUUCAUGUCGAUAUUUGGGAAGGGUAUCAUGAACCUACACAUUAUGAGGCUAAAUACUUUCUCACUAUUGUUGAUGAUCACACUAGAUGCACAUGGGUCUAUUUCAUGGCACAAAAGUCUGAAACCCGUCAAUUACUUAUCGAUUUUAUUCAAUUGGUUGAGAAACAAUAUGAUAGGCACGUCAAAACAAUCAGGAGUGACAAUGGUGCCGAGUUCAAGAUGUCGUCAUACUAUGCAUCCAAAGGUAUUGUCCAUCAGACGAGUUGCGUCAACACACCACAACAAAAUGGUGUUGUCCAUCCAAUACCGAAACCCUAGUUGUCCAUCCAAUACCGAAUCCCUAGGGGCUGUCAACAUACCACCAUCACAGACUACACCACCGAGACAUUCUUCACGGCCUACCCGUAUUCCACCAUUCUUGCAGGAUUUCCAUGUUGAGGCAGCUCUUCCCUCACGUUCUGUCCCGUCAGCUUUUCUGGAUGCAGGUACUAUUCCUUAUUCUCUUUCAACUGUUUUAUCAUAUAAUCAUCUUUCUCCUUCCCACCGAGUUUUCACCGCACAACUAACCCUCCACAAAGAGCCUACAUCUUUCUCACAAGCUGUCCAGGUACCUAAAUGGAGUGAGGCCAUGAAGCAGGAAAUCCAAGCACUUCAACAAAAUCGUACAUGGAGCCUUGUUCAGUUGCCUCCUCAUAAACGCCCUAUGGCUGCAAGUGGGUUUAUAAGAUAAAGCUCAAGCCAGAUGGAUCAGUUGGAUUGUAUAAAGCACGUUUGGUAGCCAAGGGUUACAGUCAGGUGGAAGGAAUUGAUUACCGAAAAACGUUUGUACCUGUGGCUAAGCUGACUACCGUAAGAGUUCUUCUCGGCAUUGCAGCUUUACAAGGUUGGCACCUUCAUCAGUUACAUGUGAAUAAUACUUUCCUUCGUGGAGAUUUAUCCGAGGAAGUGUACAUGUCCUUGCCUCCAAGUUUCGAACGAAAGGGGGAGACUAGAGUGUGCAAAUUGCACAAAAGCCUCUGUGGUUUGAAGCAAACUUCCAGACAAUGGUUCAUCAAGUUAUUUGUAGCACUCAAAUCUACCGGGUUUCACCAAUCAUGGACAUAUUAUUCUUUAUUCGUUUGAGCACGUGCAGGCAAGUUCACAGUGUUACUUGUAUAUGUUGAUGACGUUAUAUUGACAGGGAACAGUUUGGAGGAUAUUCAAGAUGUGAAGAACUUUCUCUCCAAUCGUUUCAAACUUCAAGAUCUUGGAAAUCUCAAGUAUUUCCUCGGCAUUGAAGUAGCAAGGUCACGCGAUGGCAUUGCUCUUUGUCAACGCAAGUAUGCUCUUGAGAUUUUGGAAGACACCGGCUUCCUAGCAUCAGAACCAUCAACCUUUCCUGUCAACGGUAGCUUGUCACUCAAGGAAUUAGGGGGAGAGCUGCUUUCCGAUCCUGCACAGUAUCGUAAAUUGGUAGGGAGGCUCAUCUACUUGACAAUAACUCGGCCUGAUCUUGUGUAUGCGGUACAUGUUUUGAGUAAGUUCAUGAACAAACCUAGACAACCACAUCUUGAUGCUGCUUAUCAGGUUCUCCGCUACAUCAAGGGGACUCCAGGCUAAGGUAUUUUCCUUCCUUCAAAAGGGAAAUUGGAGCUCACUGCUUUCUGUGACGCAGAUUGGGCUAGUUGCAAGGACACUCGACGAUCACUCACCGGCUAUUGUGUCAUGAUUGGAAAUGCACCAAUCUCUUGGAAAACCAAGAAACAAAGCACUGUAGCUCGAAGUAGUGUGCAAGCAGAGUAUCGUUCGAUGACAACAACUUGUUGUGAGAUUACUUGGCUAUGCAGUUUGAUGAAUGAUUUAAGGGUAAGACAUAUUGGAUUGACACGGUUGUACUGUGAUAACCAUGCCGCCAUUCACAUUGCCAACAACCCCGUUUUUCACGAGCGUACCAAGCAUAUUGAGAUAGAUUGUCAUAUCAUCCGAGAAAAUGUGCAACCAGCGGACAUCUUCACUAAGCCACUCGGCAUUGAGCAGUUCAAGCUACUUCUUAGCAAGUUGAGAGUCAUUAACAUCCACUCCAACUUGAGGGGGAGUAUUAAAGCAGGAAAUCCUAGUUGAGUUAAUAUUGCAUAUUGAGUGUAUCUCCAUUGUUUGUUACCUAUUUUAGAUAGGAGUUAGCUAAACCCUAGCUGGCUAGCACUUGUAUAUAUAGAGAUAGUCUGUACAAACCUUCUUUUAAGUGAAUACAUAUAUUUUCACCUCUAGUUUGUUUAUUUAUCGUUCUAGCUAGGCAAAUUAAAGGACAAAAGAUUAAGAACUUAAGAUUAGGUUUAUAACAAAGAAGCUAAGCUAGCUAGGUGUAAAUCAAAUCGCAAGCUAUAUGACUUUGCACCUUGCAACUUUUAAGAUAAUCGAUCAAUUAUUUCUGAUGGAACGAGGGCCAGUCCCGCACGACAUGUACGUUGUUGGCUCUUCUUUAUCACUUUACUUAUAACCCAAGUGAGAAAAGAGAGAAACUCAAAUGACUGCAAAUUGACUGAGAAUGCAUGCAACCCUGGUGGCUCGAUCUGCAAUUCUGCAUGUACAUCAGACCGAGAAUCAGAAAAGGUCGGACCAGAACAAAACUCAAGAGCUGGAGAAUGAGAAUUAUUCAAAAGGAAACGCAAUGCCUUAGUUCCCAGUUCCCAUUUCGGUAGCAUACAGUAGUUAUAUGGAUAAACAUCUCUAGGAAGCUUGACUUUCUUUGAGGCUUAUUUUUUGGUCUGUCUUGCAUGCAUUUUAACAACAGUGGUAAUAGUAGCUAAAUGCGACUGUCAUUGAUAAUGCAUGCAUGUGUUGGAUGGAUUAUUGUUCCUCUAGCUAGUACGUUGCUAAUCAAGGAAGAAUAAUAUAUAUACAGGCUAUAUCCCACUCUAGUCUCAUUUCAUGACAUUUCUGUGCGAUCUCAUUUGAAAUAGGAUACCUGAUACCUAAUUCCACUGUAUAUUUGUGAAUAGAUAGAGAUUGAAAUCGCACCCCACUACAGUGGUAAAGAUUAUCUUAACUAGUUCGUAUCAUCUUGAUUAGAUGGGGACAAAAAAAAAAAAAAAAUUUAGAGAAAGGUAAAAUUAUAUCUAAUAACAACUAACAAUUACAACCAUGAGAGAUUUCGGUGGUAGACAACAAGUCCCCACACUCAUCCAUACCCACAUACAUGCGAUUACAAUGAAAAUGUAACCUACUUCUAACCCCAUCCACAAGACUUGAUACUCUCCUUAUGGUCAACCUCAAGAAAAAAUAACCAAGCACUGUACACCAAAACCGCUACCAUAUAUGUAGAUGCAACCUCCCAAUUACAUUGACAACAAAAAUACAUUGAUAGUCCCUGGACAUGACACCAAACAUGACCCUACCAAAACUACCAACGACACCAAAUCACAAACACCCUAAAACCCUUGCCAAAAAAGGAGGGACGACAAACAAAACCACACCAAAAAACACAAAACACAAAACAAAAAAACAAAACUAAAAAGAAGACCCAGACCCAGACCCAAGCCCAUCCUUCCUAUUGGAGCACAACGAAGAGGCCCUCCAAAAAACCACCCUAAGGAGUCCCAAGCCACUACACGUUGUCUUGUCGCUCCAGCCACCGUUGCGUCGUCACAAGAGUCUGACGCCUUCCGUCACGCACCUCAAAUGGCAACAUCACAACGAGGUUACACCAUUCUCAAAAUCUGUCACAAAUCGUGGCUAGGAUACCUGACCCAAAUUGAGAAACAACCCGGUAGAUCGUCACUGCCACAAAUCUCCCUGCCACUGCUCAUACCUCUCCAUCUGACCUCACCACCGCCACCACCUGAUUGGCCAAACUUUUUCAACAACGCAACAACCCCACCAGAGCAAAUCACACGACACCCAGAGACCAUGAGCGACGCCUCACAACCGAUAUCUUGAAGAAACAUCCACCACGUGAUACACCGCCUCCAACCUAACAAGGCAUAGCCACCAUUUAGCCACCCGGAGACUCCCGUCCGACAACAGCAUCAACGGACACGCCGUUGGACGGAUAUGAGAAAACAAGUCUUGAAACCCUAGAGGGACCAUGUUUUGCGGAGUUGUAGGUAUACAAUAAGUAGUGUUUUUUUUCAAAAAUUUAAAAAAAAAAAUUGUUUGAAUAGUGUUGUAUAUGGAAAAUAUUUUCUUUCUUGUUAUUUUUAUUAUGCACAUGAAUAAAAGGAGGUGAAAUGUAGAGAUCAAUUAUCAUGAUUAAAUAGCAACUCCAACAAAUUCUUCAUAUAUUGAUUUUUCUCUUUUUUAGGGAGAAAUAAAUAUCUCUAAUUUGCUCCAACAGUUUCUCUAUAACUAAAUAGGGAUAGUGAGGAAACUUGGCGGCAACAGUGGUUCUCCACUGGUGGCAGCCUUGCACUUUCGAUUAAAAGGGGGAACUUUUCCCUCUCUUUCUCGUCAAAUCGGUGGUGAUGACGGAGGGUUUGCACGACCCUAUUCCAUGAACAAGACUCAAUCAGAAAUGGAUCUGAUCUUGGAUCCAGGUGGUUUGAAAAUAUUAAAGGGGAUCAGUGCGCUCGGCGGUAGCAUGUCUGGCAGCGGCUUGGAGCUUUUUCAGGUUGGUGGGUUUCAGAUCUUACCUUAAGGUUGUGCACCUGUUCUUCCUUCCUAUUAUGUUGUUGGGGAGAGCGGUGGUGAUGUGGACAGAGCCGGCGACGAUGAUGUGGCUCUGAUUUCGAAAAUGGCUACGCCGACAUUGUUGGCCGCGGGUGGUGAUGACGGCGGCAAAGGGGUGGAGAAUGCUAGGGUUUGGGCCCGAAUGGGCUUGGGUUGGAGCUUCUAGGGUUUCCCUUAGCUGGGCCUUGACCGAUGCAGCUGGGCUUCGGCCCCUAGUUUAAAUUUAGUUUGGUCCAGGUAAACUAGUUUUCUGCGGAUCCUAGUUUUACCUGUACAAUAAAAAUACUUAAUUGCUACAAGGUGGGUAUACUUAGGAUUUCAUAGCUUAUGUUUUAGCUAGUAUAGGACUUGCAAUUCUACAAGACGAUGCUUUCUGACGACCCCACAUGGGUGUGUGUCGUCUUUGUACAGCUUGCUCUGAUUUAAAUGGAAUGACCUCUUGUUUAAAAAAAAAAUAGGGAUAGUUUGGAAAGAGACAACGAAAUUCCCUAAAUUUACAAAAACCUCUUAAAAAUUGUAGGAAAAUAUAGAGAUUGUUGUAAAAUAGAGAAUCUAUUAAAGUUGAAGCAUAAUUAUUAAAGAAAUAUUAAUUUUUUGCUUUUCUAUAAUAAAGAAAUUUUAAGGAAGCUACUACCGGACUUCUUAUAACCAACCUACACACCAAACUUGUAUUUGUGAUGGACUGCUUCUUUUCCGGUUAACAUUAUGCCUUCCAGUUUCAUUACAAGUCCUUACAAAGCACAUCUCAGCGAAAAAAGUUCGCAGCACCAGCAAGUACUUACGUAGGAAUGGACAGUUGGAUAACCUCACAUGCACCUUUUGGUUAUUAGUUAUAUAUGAAAAAUAUACCGACUAUAAUUACCAAGAAUUGAGAUCACCGUUGGGUUACACUUGCCCUGCUAGUACAUAGAAUAAUUUUCAUAAAAUUAUAUAGUAGCUUAUAUAGUACCUAGUACUUACUAAUUUGUCACCAUAGUGAAACAUACCUGCAAACCAGGGUAGCAUUCACUUGGGGGAACACAUUUCUAAAGUAGCUUAUUAGGCUUACUCAAUAUUCUACACCCCUAUAAAGAGCUACAAUUAGGUCAAAAAACAACAGACUUGUUCCCCUUCCAAGUAUAGAAAAUUAUGACAUGUUGGGUGAGAGACAUAGAUGGUUUGUCUCUCAAGAAAAAAAAAAAAAAGAUUAGACAAUUGGUUACCGACAGAUGACACUUCUUUUGUUGGCUUAACCACUUCUUUAAUGUCUUCCUAAUUGAGAACUAGCUAGGAGAUCAUCAACUCGAUCACGAGGGUUGGCACAUGACUUGGAAUCAUGCCCCGAAAACGCGUUAUAUUAACAAGAGAAUCAACAAACCCAAAAUGACUACUCAAUAUUCACCAAUUACCAUCUCGGAUAAGAAAACUCGAAGCAAAAUGAAGACUAGGACAUGGAAAUGACACUCUUGGAGUCUUGCGGACCCAAUUUUAUGCUGAGAAAAUUCUUCUAUAUGAUGGUCGAGAAUAAAGGUGGGCUUUUAGAAAGAUGGGAAAGUAAUGGCUAACAUGACUGUUUAGCUGGUGACUUAAGGUUGGCAAAGUGUCACUGUUAAGGGCAGUGAUCGAAAGCAGAUAGCUAGGUAAUGGUUACUAUUAAUCAUUAGCUAUGAUAGACUAAUGGUCAACCCCGAUUGGGGGAUUGUAGCUAGGGAUAAUUAUUAAUGGUAGUAUAGUAAUGUUCAGGACUGAUUAGGGACAGCAAGUUAACUCGAGUUUAGGCCCCAUCAUUUGGCUAAUGUACACAAUCAUGAUUAAUUAGAGACCACAAGUUAACUCGAGAACCUUCAUUCUCGGAAUUCGUCUCUCCAUUCGGAUCUGUUUGAUUUAUGUCUUGAAGUUGGCAUGAGUCUUGCUCGACCCGUUGUCUGGUUUUGUUGUGUCGUUGUCUCUCCGGCUGAUGCGGCUUUCACGACGGUGUGGUCGUUGGUGAUGACGUGUCAACUUUCUUGGGCUUUCAUUUUGCUGUCUAGGCCUUUGGGCCAGUGUGUUUGGUUCGGUUGUUUUUAGGCUUGUCUUGAGUGAGAGAAUUCGGGCGCAAAGGUCUAGUUAGUCUAGCCCAUUAACCGACAUGUCUUUUUGGCUCGAAAAAGCAUAUGCGUCGAUCUAUCCAGUUCGUAUUUCUGUUUGUUUGAGUCUGUUUUCCUUUCUUUUCUGAUAGGUGUCAUCAUUUGGCCCGCGGGCCUAAAGGCUCGUGUGCGGCUCGUCGGCCCAGAGGGUAAAAGUUCGACUCGGCCCAUAUAAAAGCCUUUCUCGACCUGGCUCAUAGGACAUGAGGCGGGGUUAGGGCGGAGGGUUCAAAGCCUUGAGCCGGGCCAUAAGGCUAACACGCGGCCCGACCCAUUAUAGCCCGUCCAGUCCGGCCCGCUCAAAAGCCCUUUCUAUUCUAGUAUUAAUAUUUUUUAUGAACCUAUUAGUUGAAUAUGUGAACUAAUUUAUGCAUUAAGUCAUAUUUUUCUUUUAUUUUUAUUCUAUUUGGUUCAAAUCAUUAACAAAUAUUAACUUUUUCAUAGUUUCUUGUUUUUUUAAUAAAUAUGUAUUUGUUCUAGGAUAUUCUCUAUGUGUGCCUUGGCCUUAUGCCAAUAGGAUAUGUAGUUAGACUAGAUCUAUGUAUUCAUAUCCUUACCAUAUUGGUAUUGUGUAAUUCCCUAUAUAAAGGGCUCCUAUCAAUGAAUAAGAUGAUUCUCUUGCUAUCUCUUUGUCUCUACACUUUAUUCUUCAUCACGUUAUCAUGCACUUUGUUCUAACCCUAGAGCCAAUAGCCCACCAUUUUUUUUCCAAACCCUAAAAACCAAAACCCUAAAAUCGGGCAGCCUUGUUUUUCCCGAUUUCCGACCAAAAUUCCGACUGCCCUCCGCCGGAAUUUUAUAUCCCCAGAAAGCUCUUUCCGUCACGGAUCCAACGCCGCUGGCCUCACCCUGAGAACUGGCCGGAAAGUCUCCGAACCGGCCGCCGGAAAAUUCCAGACUGCCGCCGCUACCGACCACCGGUUCACCACCUUCCCUUACUCCGAUCAACCUGAAAUUUUGACAGAAGCUUCCCCAUCCAGAGCUGCUCCUCCUGUCAAAUUUUCAGCCCCAAAUUCGAAGUAUAAGUAGGCGAAACGUUAUUUCUCCUCUCGGCAGCCUUUAGAAAGGUAUGUUUUGAAACCUUAAACUCUUCCAAGUUCAAUAACUCGGGGAGGAUAAAAUCCUUUCCUCCCUUCUCCAUCUCCAUUCUAUGCUUGGGAUUUUGUGUGUGCAGGUACCAAAAAUCCCGGAAUUUUAUUCGCGGGUCAAGAGUAUGUUGGAUCACUCUUGUUUCUUUGUCCGGGUUGUGUUUGAUCAACCCCGACCUUUCACCGGAUUGUGUUUGAUCAAUCCGAGGCCUUUUUCCGAAUUGUGUUUGAUCAGUUCGCGGCUUUUCCGGAUUGUGUAUGAUCAAUCCGAAGGACAAACCAUUAAAAGCAUCGUUUGUGACCUCUAUCAAGUCUCAUAACAGCUUGGUUUUGUAUGCAAGAGCAAUGUAACAUUCUGCUCCUUUGAGUUUUGACGUACUAGAUGCCUAAGGCGGAUCUUCGCUUGGUAUCUGUGGAACCUUUCAUUGGAAAGGAUUAAACCACAUGUUUUGACCCCCAGGCUAACAAGCUUAGAUGCCGAGAUUUCACAUCUCAUGCGCUCAAAGUUUUUGAAGCGCCACAUCGACAAAAGCCUUCAAUGGCAACCUGUGCAAAAAGUAAUGACCACAAAGUACUGUGGAAUGCACUCAUGGAGCAUUUCUCGAAACGUUCAUAUAACUCUACUUGUUGNNN